rnacentral:lncRNA from 1 species
UUUUUUAAACACCUAGACCCUUUGCAACUUAGAAACUUUGGCCUUAUGCCAUUGCAUUUUCAAAUUUCUCUUCUUAUAUCAAACUUGUAAAUAAACUUAACUAUACUUGACUUAAAAUUUUCAAAAGCCAAAAAGAACUAACUCAUUCAAACCAUUUUCUAGGACCUUGUGCCUUUCAAACUUAAUUUUUGAUUAAAAGCAAUCCAUCCACUUUGAAAUUUGUAUCACGAACUACGAGGUUUUGAUCCCUCAUUUUUAUGUUGGUACGUAGGCACAAGUCCGAAGGUCUUGUCAAACACAAAAAUAUAAUUAAUGAAUUAUUUUCCAUUCUAUUUGGUUUGUAAACUCCUUGUCAAAAUAAUAUGCACCAAGAAGGCUCCUAGGAGUACCUAGGACACUUUGGGUGCUAACACCUUCCCUCUGUGUAACCAACCCCCUUACUUGUAAUCUCUGGAAUUUUAUUAGUUUUGAUUUGAAAACUUCUUAUUUUUGGGUUUUGUUCGUACUUUUCCCUUUUCCCUUGGAAACAAUAAAAUCGCGGUGGCGACUCUUGUUAUUUGAUGUCUUGUUUAUCCAUAGCUUGAUGAUCAUGAAUUUACCGCUACAGAAAUUAAGUGGCGAAUCUGCUAGGGAGUAGUCUCCAGUAGGUUUAGCCUACUUUUUUGUGUGUAUAUAAUUAUAUAUAUGUGAUGUAUGUAUAUUUGUUUGUGUGAUAUAAUCUGCUUGUUGUGCUUGGUGAUCUCUGAGUGGUGCGAUAAGUUCUAACCCGAACUUGAGUGCAAUUAAGAUAGGAGGAUGGUAUAGUCAUGUUUGAUUGUGUGGAGUAGUCCUUAACAAGUUGGCUUGAGAUCCAUCUGCUUAGUGGGUACUCUUUUGGAUUUGGAAAUGUCACACAAGUAUUUAUGGUUAGGCAUCACUAUCUCUAAUUUGGAUCCGAGGAGCUGAGGACCGUAGAACAUUUACCCCUCUUGGCCUAUUUAGGACGUAGUGUGGAGGCUGUUCAAGUGUAGACUUGAUAACAGUUGUUACGCGAUACUACACUCAGACGAGUUUCUCUUGAGAAUAUUAUGGAUCGAUGAGGCAGUCAUCUUAACCUGUAAUAUCCGAUAGAUGGAAUUAAAACUCUGGGAACUUUUUAGAACAUGAUUGUAGCGGGGUAUUCGUUACCUUUGGAUUUAUUGACUAAAUCAAAAGUAAAUCAUACAAUUCGAGUCGCCACCGCACUUCUAUUUAUCCAAAGGAAAGGUUAGAAAGCGAACAAAAACCGAGAAGUUUUAUCAAAUCAAAAACUAAUAAAAAUGUCAGAGAUCUGGGUAAGGGGGUUGGUUAUGCAAUGGGAAGGUUUUAAGCACCCAAAACAUCCUUAGUACUCUAAGGGAGCCCUUUUUNNNNNNNNNNNNNNNNNNNNNNNNNNNNNNNNNNNNNNNNNNNNNNNNNNNNNNNNNNNNNNNNNNNNNNNNNNNNNNNNNNNNNNNNNNNNNNNNNNNNNNNNNNNNNNNNNNNNNNNNNNNNNNNNNNNNNNNNNNNNNNNNNNNNNNNNNNNNNNNNNNNNNNNNNNNNNNNNNNNNNNNNNNNNNNNNNNNNNNNNNNNNNNNNNNNNNNNNNNNNNNNNNNNNNNNNNNNNNNNNNNNNNNNNNNNNNNNNNNNNNNNNNNNNNNNNNNNNNNNNNNNNNNNNNNNNNNNNNNNNNNNNNNNNNNNNNNNNNNNNNNNNNNNNNNNNNNNNNNNNNNNNNNNNNNNNNNNNNNNNNNNNNNNNNNNNNNNNNNNNNNNNNNNNNNNNNNNNNUAGCGGGGUAUUCGUUACCUUUAGAUUUAUUGACUAAAUCAAAAGUAAAUCAUACAAUUCGAGUCGCCACCGCACUUCUAUUUAUCCAAAGGAAAGGUUAGAAAGCGAACAAAAACCGAGAAGUUUUAUCAAAUCAAAAACUAAUAAAAAUGUCAGAGAUCUGGGUAAGGGGGUUGGUUAUGCAAUGGGAAGGUUUUAAGCACCCAAAACAUCAUUAGUAUUCUAAGGGAUCCCUUUUCACUAAUGUUGUAAGGUAGGUUUGUAUUUGUGAAAAAUAUUUGUGCAAACAUGAUUGGGGAGAUGAGAGAAGAAUGUACAAAUUAUUUACAAUUUUGUGUUUGAAUGGAUAAACCCAUUGCCUACGUACCAUCUUAAAAAAAGAAUAGGAUCAAAACCUCGUAGUUCGGGGUAAAAAUCUCAAAACAAAUUGGUGAAUUGAUUGGUCCAAAAGCCUUAAGGUCUUUUGUUAUCAAAGGGAGAAAACUCAACCUAAAACCACAAAUCCACCAUGUGAGGAUAGCUUCAACAUGCUAGUGAUGGGUUAACCCUUUAAUAAGCAUGGAAGUCUUAUGGUCCAUCACUAAGGAUAUAGGUGAGUAUUAUAUCAACCUCAAGGAUAACUCAAACAUAAUAGCUAAUGUUUGUGAAAAGCUUUGGCAUGGAGUGGCCAUUGAAACCACAAAACAAUUGAGUGAGUUGUAUUUACCACAUGAAAAGUAUUUACAAAAAGGUCAAAGUUGACUUAAAGAUUCAAUUCAAAAUUAGUGUUAUGAAAAGAAGUUUGAAAAAUCAAAAGUAUAAUGCUUAGGUUUCUAAUUUUUGAAGACAAGGUUAAUGUUUGCACAAAAGUUUGGCUUGGGUUAGAGUGGAGGGAAGAAGAAGAAUGGCUAAGUCCUAAACAUACAAAGAUGAAGCAGGAGAAAAUAAACCACAAUGGAGUUCCCUUCUUGAGAUCAUAGUGAUGAUCCAAGUUGUUCCCUUUCCUUUGGAAUAAUAAGUAAUAAUCAAAUAACUCAAGCAAUCAAGCAAACAAGCAAGAUCCUAGGAAUCUUCCAAUUGGCUUUUGUAUCUCUCACUUUGGAUGCUCAUGACAAUGGUUCUUCUACUUGGCUCAAGUUCAUGGAUCCCUAGCACAAGAAUACACAAAUCAAAAAGUUCCACAAUGUAAUAGAAAGAAUGGACAAGAGGGAGUUUAGAGUUUGGUCCUUUCAAAGUCCUCUUCAAGAUUAAGCAUUCUAAAGGCAUGAGACCUAGUUGCUCUUUGACAUUUUUCUUCUUUUAUAGCAUUCUAAAGGCAUGAGGCCUAGUUGCUUUUUGACUCCACUGGCAUAGGGAAUAUCCUAAAGUCUAAGUCCUUUUGUCCAUUUGCAUUUGGUUCACAUAAUCAAAACAAAACAAGCACAAUAGUAUAUACACAAUAAUGUGCUCAAGUGAGCAAAAGGCAAAUUGCAUUAACAUAAACAUGAGCUCAAGUGAGCAAAGGACAAAAGCAAAUGAAAUAAUGUACAAGAAUAUUAAAUUGCAUUAAAGUAAAUUGCAAGAAUUAAAUGACUUGAAUUAAAAGUUAAGAGUCAAUAGUUAGUGUUAGUGUGCCAUAAGGCAAUUUAACGCUAUGUUAAGCAAUCGUAAAUGGACUAAUGUUGUAGUCACACCUAUCUGAGUCCGGUCAAUAAAAGUAUAGGCAACAAACACAAGUUAGAGACCUUGACUAGUAAGUCAAGCUCCUACAACUUGCCAUGCCAAAAGAAAAGAAGAAUGAUCUUGUAUUGAUUUAGGUUUUUUGCUUGACCAAGAAGCAACCUAUCCUUAAUGCAAAGCCAUUCACUUGAUCUAUGAUCAAGAUGUGAGGGAUUAUUAGGGUCAAAUUGGGGUCUUACAAUGAAUCUAUAGGUUUUUAAUCCUUAGUUCACUCCUUUGGCAUCGGUUCUUACCCCAGACUCAAGGCUCGUGAUUUACAACAAACCUUGAUUCUGGUUAUCCAAUCAAGUCUUUCAAUAUCAUGGAACUUGGGUGUUGAUAAGGUGAAAACCAUAAUCCACCAAAAUGGAUGAUUGAUCUGACAAUGACUUGAUUCAUCCUGACUUUUGUUUGUUUGCCUUGUGUGUGAAUCUUAUUUGUUUGUUGCAUUCAUGCAUUCAUGCGUAUCAUAACAUUCAUCACACGAAAAUUUCAAGGAACUGAGAUAUUAUUUGCAAAUAUUUUCAGCCCAUGGAUUAUGGAAGAAGGAACACUAAGAGUACAGUUUAAGAUGUCGCGACUUGAAAUAUUAAGGAAGCUAGCAUCCUUUGUAUUAGAUCCCUUGGACUUCAAACAACGUCAUGGAGAAGCUUCUGUCUAUCUUGUCUGCUGAUAUGGUUGAAGGACUCUGAGUGUAUUGGUGCAGUUUAUGAUCCUCUUUAUUGUUGCUUCACUUUCCCAGAUUAUCAGCUUGUGCCUACGUUGGAAGAGUAUGCCCAUAUCUUGGGGAUACCUGUAGCGGGGUAUUCGUUACCUUAGAUUUAUUGACUAAAUCAAAAAGUAAAUCAAUAGAAUUUGGUCGCCACCGCACUUCUAUUUAUCCAAGGAAAAGUUAGAAAGAAACAAAACUGAGAAGUUUUAUCAAAUCAAAAACUAAUAAAAUUGUCAGAGAUCUGGAUAAGGGGGUGGUUAUGCAAUGGGAAGGUUUUAAGCACCCAAAACAUCCUUAGUACUCUAAGGGAGCCUUUUUGCAAAUGUUGUAUGGUAGGUUGGUAUUGUGAAAAUAUUUGUGCAAACAUGAUUGGGGAGAUGAGAAAAGAAUAUACAAAUUAUUUAUAAUUUUGUUGUUUGAAAUGAAACCCAUUGCCUACGUACCAUCACAAAGGUAGGAUCAAAGCCUCGUAGUUCGGUAUCGAAAAUAUUUUUGCAUUUUUUGAAUAUUGGAAACUAUUUAAAAUGAAUUAAAAAUAACCAGAAAAGAGAAAAUUCACAAAAAAUAUCAAAUGACAAAAUAAAAAAUAUUAAAAAUCAUUUUUAGAAAUUUAAAAGGGAAAUAAUGCAAUUGGUCCCAUAUUUUUUGGAUUUAAAAUGAAAGAGUUAUGAAUUUUUGAAAUAAAAUGAAAUAAACAAAAUAAAAAUGAAAAAAAAUCAGAAAUUAGGAAAAUCAUGGUGCGUUGGAUCAACCUCAUUAAAUGAGGUGGCACAUCCAAGGAUCCUCAUGCGCACGCUCACCAUAGGCAAUAGUCAAGUGAGAAACAUAAACAAUUAAAAAAAGUCAUAAGAUUGGAAGAUUGUGAUUAGACCUGGAGAUGUGAUCAAACGGUCCAUAAUUAAUCUGGCAAAGGGACGAUGGUGUACACCACCGUCUUCUCCGGCGAGCAUAUCAGCGCCGGUGGAAGUUGCAGGUCCAAAAAUAUUAACAAAAAUGGGCGAUCCUCAUAUCAUUGGAAAGUUGGGGUGAUGUACAUCACCCCUGUGCCAUUGGUUUUCACUGUAGAUCCUCAUAGGAAGAGAAAUCAGAGAUGGAAAAUAAUGGAGUUCAAACUGAACUUGAUGGAUUUACAAAAUUAAAUACACAAUUCAAUUUCCUCUUAUGAGAGGACUUCACAGGAGCCAACAAACACAAGAAAUGAGCUAUAACCAGUGAGUUUCGAAUUGAAAAAGUUUGGAUAGCAACCUUUGAAGUGCAGAUCUAUGGAGCACGAUCCUUACCAAUUCUUGAUACCAGCUUGUUCUUGAGAUGGAAAUAGGGCUAUGCUAAGGAAUUAGAGUCUAAUAAUCAACCAAGGAAGUUGAAAAUUGGAUCUGAAAAAUUGAAAUGAAAGUGCAAAAUUCCUUUGGAGUGAGGUUUGGAUUGAGUUCUGCAGCAUAUAAGGUGCCUUGAGGUUGAGAAAUGGUGAAAGUAAGCUGCAUGAAGUGAGGGCCUCCAUGCAUGGUCCUGUACAGGCGCAUGGGAGGCCCAAAUGCAAAUGAUUUGGCAUGCUGAAGUCAUAACAAUCAGGUUUGGACGUGCAAAUAUAAUUGAAUUGGAGUGUGCAUGAAGUUUCAUCAUUGUUUCCAAAAAUGCACAUAAAUCUUCUCCUCUUCGAAAAUGCAUCUUACCAAAAUGAAACAUGGCCUUGUGGGUAAUGGUUGGAAAGGUCUUGACAUGAGGAACAAUUGUUAUGUUGAAUAGAAAUCCAUUUGGAGUUGGGAAAUUAAUGAAAACUGGUCAUAAAGUUCAAGGUGCAAAACAUGUUCAUGUGAAUUUUGCCAAAAUGGACCAACUUCAAGCCCUUCUGUUUCAAUGAUGCAAGCUCCAAAUGAAAAAACUUACAACAUCAAAGUUGUAGAUCUUUCCAAGACAAUCAAUUUAGACUUAAAUUUUGAAUCAUUUGGAUUUUUGAUGAGGAGGUUAUGGGCACUUGAAGUUGGACUUUUUCACAUUUCUUUCUUUUAGGAUUAUGAAAAUGUGUUCAACAUAACAAAUGAAUUAGACAUCUUAAACGUUCCAAUUCAUUUGAUCCCACCUCAAAAUCAUGAAAAAUGAGUGAGUUAUGUCCUUGGGAAGUUGACCCAAAAUUAGGGUUUCAGUCAAAAUGACCUAUAAUGUUUUGAAAUGGAUGAUGACCUUCCACUCAAAAUCAUGAAAAAUGAGUGAGUUAUGUCCUUGGGAAGUUGACCCAAAAUUAGGGUUUCAGUCAAAAUGACCUAUAAUGUUUUGAAAUGGAUGAUGACCUUCCAAGCUUCAAAUCAAUUUUUGACGAACAUGAAAGUUGUUCAUAUGGUUCUUAAGAACAUUGUUUUUCUUAGGAUCAUCUUCAUUUGACAAAUACAUCAAACGUUAGGUCUCAGUGGAUUUCAAAAUAGUCAGAUGAAUUGACUGAUCAACUUCUUAAGUCCAAACUUCAAAUAUUAAUGAAUUGAUGAUUGAGGACACUUAAAUAAGAACAUAUACGCAUGAAAUGAUGAAUGAAAGGACUUCCCUUAAUUGUAUUUGAUCAUGGGUUGAGGUUGCUUCAUGAGCAAUGCAUAGUUGAUGCACAGAUGAAUUAGGGUUUCCUUGGGAAACAAUCCUCAAGCCCUUCGGUUUGCUUUGAUCAAAUUGACAAAUUGAGAUACUUGGGUGGCAUAUAUGAUGAAUGAGAGCUUUGUGAACCAUUAUCAUGCUUGCUUUCACCUUCACCUAGCCAUUCUUUGAGCAUAGGGGCCUCCUAGGAGCCUUGGAUCUUAUGAUUGCUCAAGCUACAAAACAAAAGAUGUUAGUGACAUAUUUUUGUGAUUUUGGUUAGUGAACAAAAUAAGAAAAGCAAUAAUAUACAAUUCAAGCAUGCUUGGUGGUCUCAAACCAACUCACACAAGUCCCAACCUAGGGUUAAGGAGCCAAGAUGCUAUGAUCCUUGAGGCAAAUGCAAAAUGCAAUGAUAUGAUGCCAUGAGGGAUAUUAGGGUCAAAAUUGGGGUCUUACAAUGAUCUAUAGGUUUUUAUCCUUAGUUCACUCCUUUGGCAUGGUUCUUACCCAGACUCAAUGCUCGUGAUUUACAACAAACCCUUGAUUCUUGGUUAAUCCAAUCAAGUCUUGUCAAUAUCAAUGGAACUUGGGUGUUGAUAAGGUGAAAACCAUAAUCCACCAAAAUGGAUGAUUGAUCUUGACAAUGACUUGAUUAUCUUGUCAAUAUCAAUGGAACUUGGGUGUUGAUAAGGUGAAAACCAUAAUCCACCAAAAUGGAUGAUUGAUCUUGACAAUGACUUGAUUCAUCCUUUGACCUUUGUUUGUUUGCCUUGUGUGUGAUCUCUUAUUUGUGAUUGUUGCAUUCAUGCAUUCAUGCGUAUCAUAACAUUCAUCACACGAAAAUUUCAAGGAACUGAGAUAUUAUUUGCAAAUAUUUUCAGACCAUGGAUUAUGGAAGAAGGAACACUAAGAAGUACAGUUUAAGAUGUCCCGACUUGAAAUAAUUAAGGAAGCUAGCAUCCUUUGUAUUAGAUCCCUUGGACUUCAAACAACGUCAUGAGAAGCUUCUGUCUAUCUUGUCUGCUGAUAUGGUUGAAGGACUCUUGAGUGUAUUGGUGCAGUUUUAUGAUCCUCUUUAUUGUUGCUUCACUUUCCCAGAUUAUCAGCUUGUGCCUACGUUGGAAGAGUAUGCCCAUAUCUUGGGGAUACCUGUAGCGGGGUAUUCGUUACCUUUAGAUUUAUUGACUAAAUCAAAAGUAAAUCAUAGAAUUUGAGUCGCCACCGCACUUCUAUUUAUCCAAAGGAAAAGUUAGAAAGAAAACAAAAACUGAGAAGUUUUAUCAAAUCAAAAACUAAUAAAAAUGUCAGAGAUCUGGAUAAGGGGGUUGGUUAUGCAAUGGGAAGGUUUUAAGCACCCAAAACAUCCUUAGUACUCUAAGGGAGCCCUUUUUGCAAAAACCAUGUGAGGAGAGCUUCAACAUACUAGUGAGGGAUCCACCCUAUAAUAAGUAUGGAAGACUUAUAGUCCAAUCACUAAGGAUAAGGUGAGGUUUACAUCAACCACUAUGAUAACUCAAACAUAUGACUAAUGCUUAUGAAAAAAAGUUUUUAACAAAGGUGGUCAUUGGAACCACAAAAAAACAACUUGAGUGAGUUGUAUUUACAAAUUAAAAGUAUUCACAAAAUAAAGUCAAAGUUGACUUAAGAUUCAAUUCAAAUAUGUAUUAACGAAAAGAGUUUGAGAAAUCAAAGGCAUAUGGUCUAGGUUUCUAAUUUGAAAGCAAUGUCAAUGUUUGCACAAAAUGAGUUUGGCUUGGGUUAGAGUGGAGAGAAGAAAAGAAGGGCUAGUCCUAAACAUGCAAAGAUGAGAGAAGAGAAUAAAACCCUUGGAGUUCCUUUCUUGAGAUCAUAAAGAUGAUUCAAGAGCUCCUUUCCUUUGGACUUAGCAAGCAAUAAGCAAUUAACUCAAGCAAUCAAGCAAACAUUCAAUCAAGCUCCUAGGAUCUCCAAUUGGCUUGUCUUUCUCUUAACUUGGAUGUUCAUGACAAUGGUCCCUCUAACUAGCUCAAGUUUGGAAUCCCUAUCACACAAGAACAAACAAUCAAAGAGUUCACAAUGCAAUAAGAGGAAUAUACAAAGAGAGAGUUUAGAUUAGGGGUCCUUUCAAGUCAACUUCAAGAUUUAAGCAUUCUAAAGGCAUGAGGCCUAGUUGCUCUUCAACAAAUUUAGCAUUCUAAAGGCAUGAGGCCUAGUUGCUCUUACUUCAAGAUUUAAGCAUUCUAAAGGCAUGAGGCCUAGUUGCUCUUCAACAAAUUUAGCAUUCUAAAGGCAUGAGGCCUAGUUGCUCUUGAACUCCAUUAAGCAUAGGUAAGGUCCUAAUUCUAAGUCCUUUAUCCUUUUUGCAUUGGGUUCACACAAACAAAAACAAAACAAACACAAAGCAAUAGUAUAUUUACACAAUAAUGUGCUCAAGUGAGCAAAAGGCAAAUGGCAUAAACAUAAACAUGAGCUCAAGUGAGCAAAAGGAAAAGACAAUAUGAAUAAAUGAGCAAGAAAUUAAAUUGCAUUAAAGUAAAUUGCAAGAAUUAAAUGCUUGAAUUAAAAGUUAGUAAUUAGUAGUUAGUGUUAGUGUUCCAUAAGGAAAUUUAGCGCUAUGUUAAGCAAUCGUAAGUGGACUAAUGUAGUAGUGACACCUAUCUGAGGUCGGUCAAUAAAACUAUAGGCAAAUAAACACAAGUUAGAGAUCAUGACUAGUAAGCCAAGCUCCUACAACUCACCAUACCAAAAGAAAAGAGGAAUGACCUUGUAUGGAUUUUAGGUUUUUUUGCUUGACCAAGAAGCAACCUAUCUUGGACACAAAGCAAUUCACUUGAUCUUUGAUCAAGAUGAAUUUGAUUUGGAUCAAAGAAGGUUAAGCCUCUCAUAUGUCAAGGCUAACCACAAAUCGUUAACUCAUUGAACCAAGAAGCAACCUAUCUUGGACACAAAGCAAUUCACUUGAUCUUUGAUCAAGAUGAAUUUGAUUUGGAUCAAAGAAGGUUAAGCCUCUCAUAUGUCAAGGCUAACCACAAAUCGUUAACUCAUUGGUCAAAAGAAAAAGAAGAAGAUGAAGAUGGAAAUGGAAUGUACAAAAAUGGAAAUUCAAAUAACAUAACCAAAACACAUUGAUCAAACAUGAAUGGAAUCAACAUCAAUCAAUGGUAAAUAGAAGUGAAAUGAAGAUUAGAAGUCAACAAAUGUCAAACAUAUUUUUGGUAUUUUUUGGAAUUAAAAUAAUGCAUAAAAUAAAAUGAACAAAUAAAGGUCAAACUUCAAAUCCAAUUCAAAUCAACUUGGAUAAGUCCAAUUGGAUCAUCAUAAGUCAAACAUGGUCAAACAAGGUUUGACAAAUUUUCUCAACAUUUUUUGAAAACAGAAACUAAUUUUAAACAAUUAAAAAUGAAGAAAAAUGACAUAAUUGGACUAAAAUCUCAAAUAAAUCUCAAAUCAAUUAAGAAAAUGAUAAGAAUAUUUUUCAUAGACUUAUCAUCAUCCAAAGAUGUUAAGAAAAUAUUUUUGGCAUUUUUGAAUAUCGAAAAGUAUUUUAAAUGAAUUAAAAACAAUCAGAAAAAAAUAAUUCACUAAAAAUAUUAAAUGGAAUCACAAAAAUAAUUAAAAAUCAUUUUAUGAAACUAAAAUUUAAGAGAAAAUUUUUGCAAUUGGUCCCAUAUUUUUGUGACUCCAAAUAAAGAAGUUAUGAAUUUUUGAAAAUAAAUGGAUUAAAAGAAAAUAAAACAGAAAUUAAGAAAAUAGAAAAAAACCACAGCGCUUGGAUCAACGCUCAUUAAUUGACGUGGCUGAUCACAAGGCUCCUAGGCGCGCGCUCAUGAUAUUCCCUAGUCAAACGCGUGGUAUGAAGCAUUUAAAAAAGUCAUAACAAUGCAAGGUCAUGAUUAGAUCUGGCAAUCACCAUCCAACGGUCAUGGUUCAAACGCGUGGGGACGGUGGUGGAAACCACCGUCUUCUCCGGUGAGAAGGCACAGUCCGGCCACCAGUUGUAGGUUUUGCAACCUCAACUAAAACAGGCGAUCCAUAUACCAAAAUAAAGCUGGGGUGAUGUACAUCACCCCUGUAACCUUAGUUUUCACUCAAGAUCCUUAUGGAAGAAGAAAUCUGAGGUUGAAAAACUAGGUGUUCAAUCUGAAGUUCAACAAUUCACAAAAAUCACUCAAGAUCCUUAUGGAAGAAGAAAUCUGAGGUUGAAAAACUAGGUGUUCAAUCUGAAGUUCAACAAUUCACAAAAUUAAAGCCACCAUUGGCUUGCCUCUCACAUGAGGACUUCAGAAAACCAUACCAACACAAGCAAUACACAAUAUUCAGUGAGAUUCAAAGCAAAACAGUUGAGGUAUAAACCUUUGUAGUGCAGCUUUUAUGAGCUCAAUCCAACCAAUCCUUUGCUUGUAGCUUGAUCUUGAUGUAUGAUAUGAGAGCUAGGCUUAGGAAUUAGUGUUGAUAAUCAACUGAUGUUGUUGAAAAUCACACUUGAAAAUGAAAAGUGAAAAUGCAAAUUCCUUGGUGUGAGGUUGGGAAAUGAAUUCAGCAGAGAUUUAGGCGCCUCCAGGUUGAGGUUUGAGUGAGGCAAGCAUUCUAUUUAUAGGCACAGCUGCAAGGAAUGUGUGAGCAAACUCGUGUGCAUGAAAUUGGGUCCUCCAUGCAUGGGCCUGUACAGGCGCAUGUGAGGCCUAAAACCAAUUGCAAAAGAAUGCUGAAAUGAUUAUGGAAUGGUUUGGACAUGCAGUUUGCAAGGCAUAUGCUUGUGCAUGAAGAUUUAACAUGAAAUGCAUAAAUGGUCACAAAGCUUCAUCUCUUCGAAAAUCACAUUUGGAAAAUCCAAACAUAGGCAUGUGAGUAAUGGUUGGAAAUGUCUUUACAUAAGUAACAAAAGCUAUGUUGAACAAAAAUCCAUUUGGAGUUUGGAAAAAUGUGAAAACUAGACAAGAAGUUCAAGGUACAAAACAUGUAUUUGAAAAAUUUGCCAAAAAAGACCAACUUCAAGCCCUUCUGUUUCAAUGAUGAAAGCCUCAAAUGGAAAAACCUCCAACAUAAAAGUUGUAUAUCUUUUCAAGACAAUAAAUUUGGACUUAAAUUUGCAUCAUUUAGAUUUUGAUGAGAAAGUGAUGAGCACUUGAAGUUGGACUUUUUUAAGAUUCAAUGGCUUUGGUCCAAAGUGACCUAUAAUGUUUUGUAUUAUCACAUGUACUUCUUUUAGGAUUAUGAAAUUUUGUCCAACAUAACAAUUGAAUUAUACAUCUUAAAAUUUACAAUGCACUUGGUCUCAUACCAAAAUCAUAAAAAGUGAGUGAGUUAGGUUCUGGGGAAGUUGGCCCAAAAUUAGGGUUUCAGUCAAAAUGACCUAUAAUGUUUUGAAAUGAAUGAUGACCUUCCAUGUUUCAAAUGAUUUUUUGAUAAACAUGAAAGUUGUUAAUAUUGUUCUUAAGAACAUUGUUUCUCUUUUGGUCAUCUUCAUUUGACAAACACAUCAAAAGUUAGGUCUCAGUCUAUUUCAAAAUAGUCAGAUGAUUUGACUGAUCAAGUUCUCAAGUCCAAACUUCAAAACAUGAUGAAUGAAUGAUUGAGGAUACUCACAUGGGCUCAUAUAUGCAUAAAAUGAUGAAUGAAAGAACUUCCCUUGAUUGAAUUUGAUCAUAGGUUGAGGUUGCUUCAUGAGCAAGGCACAAUCAAUGCACAACUGAAUUAGGGUUUCCUUGGGAAACAAUCCUCAAGCCCUUUGGUUUAUCUUAAUCAAAUUGACAAAUUGAGAUACUUGGGAGACAUAUAUGAUGAUUGAGAGCUUUGGGAACCAUUGCCAUGCUUUCUUUCAUCUUCAUCUAGCCAUUUCAAUGGGCAUAGGGGGCCUCCUAGGAGCCUUGGAUCACAUGACUGCUUAAGCUUCACAACAAAACAAGUUAGUGACAUAUUUUUGUGCUUUUGGUUAGUAAACAAAAUAAGAAAAGCAACAAUAUACAAUUCAAGCAUGCUUGGUUGUCUCAAACCAACUCAAACAAGUCCUACCUAAGGGUUAAGGAGCCAAGAUGCUAUGAUCCUUGAGGCAAAUGCAAAUGAGCAAUGAUAUGAUGCCAUGAGGGAUCUUAGGGUCAAAAUUAGGGUCUUACAAUACCUAUUUCUAAUAGAGGUCCAUUUAGUGGGUUGGAAGAGAUUCCCAGAUCUCAUCUUAUUGCUGAAGCUCUUCACUUGAAGAAGUGUGAGAUAGAGGCUCAUUGGAUGAAGAAAGGAGGAUUGUUUGGGUUGCCAUCUGAUUUCCUCAUCAAGGAAGCUACUGCCUUUUCUCAAGCCGGUAGUGUGGAUGCUUUUGAAGCUAUCUUUGUGUUUCUCAUCUAUGGGUUGGCUUUGUUCCCUAACAUUGAUGGUUUUGUUGAUGUUAAAGCCAUUAGAAUUUUUUUGAUUGGGAAUCAUGUGCCUACUUUGUUGGGUGAUAUGUACUUCUCUUUGCAUCUAAGGAAUUCUAAGGGUGGUGGAACUAUUGUCUGUUUUAUCCCUCUUCUAUACAAGUGGUUUAUUUUGCACUUGCCUCAGACACCUGCUUUUGUGGAGAACAAACAAUGUCUACAGUGGUCUCAGAGACUUAUGUAUCUCACUAAUGAUGAUAUAGUUUGGUAUGAUCCCUCUUUGAGCAGUUUGGAGAUUAUUGAUUGUUGUGGUUAAUUCUCUAAUGUGCCUCUCAUUGGUACACAAGGAGGAAUCAACUACAACCUUGCUUUGACUCGUCGUCAACUUGGGUUCCCCUUGAGAGACAAACCUAAUAACACUUUGUUAGAAGGUAUUUUCUAUCAAGAGGGUAAAGAUCCCCAACAUUUGAAGCAGAAGAUUGUGCAUGCUUGGAGGUUCCCCUUGAGAGACAAACCUAAUAACACUUUGUUAGAAGGUAUUUUCUAUCAAGAGGGUAAAGAUCCCCAACAUUUGAAGCAGAAGAUUGUGCAUGCUUGGCAUAAUGUGCAUAGGAAAGGAAGGUCUGAUCUUGGUCCGCGCAAUUGUGUAGCUUUGGAAGCUUACACUCUUUGGGUGAAGAAGAGAGCUUUGGAGUUGAAGAUGCCUUAUCCUUGUGAGAGACAUAUGUCUAUGGUUGUGGUUGAGCCAUUAACUCUCCCUAACCAAGAUGUAGAGGAGUUGGAAUACGCACUCGCCAAGAUGAAGCAAGAGAAUGAUAUAUGGGAAGAGCGUUUUUGUGCUUUGAGCCAAAAGCAUGAGGAGUUGUAGUUGGAGUAUAAGGACAAAGAUGCACUUAUUGAGCUACUUGAAGACCGAGUGACAAAGAGACGGAGAGAGCCGAAGGUUUCGUCUUCUAGCAUGCCUCAACCUUCCGUUGCUUGGAAGAAGAUUGUUGAUCAGCUUGUGCUCGAGAAGACUCAGAUGAAGGCUUCUUUUGAGACCGAGAUUUGACGCAUUCGAAGGAAGUAUGCACCUGCAGCCAGAUCUUCUAACGGUGUUGUUAAGGAUCCUUAGGAUGACUAGUCUCUUUUUCUCUUGUAUUUUUUCAUUUGGUUUCUGAAAUUGUACUCAGUGUAAUCCUUCUAAUUGAUAUAAAUGAAAAGAAAUUUUUGGUCAUAUCAAAUUAUUACAAUUGUUGUUAAAUAUAUAUAUAUAUAUAUAUAUAUAUAUAUAUAUAUAUAUAUAAUAUAUAUAUUUGCAAAUGAUAUAGUAAGUUCCUUGAAAAAAUAAAAAUGAAUAAUCAAGCAUUGCAUUUCAUGCAUCAAUUGCAUAAGCAGGUUUCUCUUUCUCUAGAUGUCUCAUUGGUGUUUCUUUUGUGCUUCAGACAAGCUGACUCAUCGGUACAAUACUCGUGUCAAUCACUCCAGAAUCAUGGAACAUCUUGAGCAAGAGAAUAGAGAGCUGAAGGACGAGAUCACCCGCUUGACUGCCAUGAUGGAGUCAGUUCUAGAUGCACAGAGUCAGUCUUCUCCAACGCCCGCAACUCCUCCUCCUCAGAGGACUGUCAUUUCAGAGGUGGCUACCUCUAUCAUGCCUGCUGCUACCGCUCAUUUCGCACCUGCUAUGCCUGCCGGAUUCCCGUGGGGAAUUCCACCGAACUUCGUGCCUGAAGGCUUUGCGCCUACUUUUGCUUCUAUGCCGGCAUCUAGCCCGGUCAUGUUUGCACCACCGCCUGUAGUGCACACCUUACCUCGCGUAGAAGACACCAUUUAUCAUUCCGAGCCAUCUGAGGGUCCGGAUGUUUAUGAGAAAAUGGAUGAGAUGAAAGAUAAAUUUCUUGAGCUGUGCAAGGAGUUGAAGACUUUGAGAGGUAAGGACCUUUUUGGGAAGAGUGCUGUUGAGUUAUGUCUGGUGCCGAAUGUGAAGAGUCUGGUGAAGUUCAAAGUGUCUGACUUUGAAAAAUACAAAGGAAACACAUGUCCGCUCAGUCAUUUGGUGAUGUAUGCUCGCAAGAUGUCUACCCAAACAGACAACGAUCAGCUGUUAAUCCAUUACUUUCAAGACAAUCUGACCAGCGCUGCACUAAGAUGGUAUAUGGGGUUGGAUAGUUCAAGCAUCCGCACUUUCAAUGAUUUGGGAGAAGCAUUUGUUAAGCAGUACAAGUACAACAUUGAUAUGGCUCCUGACCGAGAUCAAUUGAGAUCACUAUCUCAGAAGGACAAGGAAACGUUUAAGGAGUAUGCACAGAGGUGGAGAGAACUCGUUGCUCAGAUCAACCCUCCUUUAGAGGAAAAGGAGAUGACCAAUAUUUUUCUGAAGACCCUUAGCUCAUUUUACUAUGAGAAGGUGAUCGCCAGUACCCCCAGUGACUUUACCGAAAUGGUAAAUAUGCGGAUGAGGCUUGAAGAAGGUGUCCGAGAAGGACGAUUGUCGAAGGAGGAGGUAUCAUCUAGCAAGAGAUAUGGCGGCAGUUUUAGUAAGAAGAAGGAUAAUGAAGCCAACACAAUCAUUAGCGGGAGGCAGAGGAGGCCUUAGACAAGAAGAAAUCAACCUCCCCGUCAACACCAUCAUCAAGUAUCUUCAGUAAUCCCAGUAUUUUCAGCAAAUCAAUCAACACCAAUUCAACAACAACAACGUCAACCACAACAACCACAACAACGAGCAAACACCUACAACAACAACAAUACCAACAAUCAUCAACAACAAACUUUCGAGAGGAAGAACUCUAUCCAUCAUUGGUUCUCAAGAACCUGCUACAACCGAGAAAUCCGCCGCAAAUACCUGAACCACUUCCCUAGUGGUACAAACCUGACCUCCACUGUGCUUUUCAUUAAGGAGCACCUAGACAUGACAUUGAGAAUUGCUACCCUCUCAAAUAUGAAGUUUAGAAGCUAGUAAAGAGUGGAAUGGUGUCCUUUGAGGACCUUGCACCUAAUGUGAAAGCAAACCCAUUGCCAGCCCAUGGAAAUUCAUCUGUUAAUAUGGUAGACGACUGUCCUGGGGAGUUCAAAGUGUUUGAUGUCCGUUUCAUCAGAAGGUCUUUGGUGACGAUGCAUAAGGGCAUUUGUAUGGUAAGUGAUUGUGAGCAUGACCAUGAUGGUUGUGCUAUCUGCAGUGUCAACCAUAGGGGUUGUAUGAUUGUGAAAAGAGACAUCCAACGGUUGAUGGAUGAGGGUAUGAUUCAGAUUAUUCAAUCCCGUCAUGUAGAGGACGAUGUGAAUAUGAUUGUUCGAGUGUUUAAGAAUCCCGAGAGGGUGGUGAUUCAGUAUGACAGCAGUAACAGUAACUAUAUCAAUCAAAGAUCGGUAUCACCGUUGGUCAUACGGUUAGCAAGCCCAGUCCUGUAUUCAUCUGAUAAGGUUGUUCCGUAUCAAUAUAAUGCAACUAUGUUAAAGUAUGGUCAAGAGGUCCCAUUACCUACAACCAGUUCUGUCGUGAGCAUUGCUGAUGUUACUAAGGUGACCCGUAGCGGUCGAGUGUUUGGGCCGGUGUUCCCAAAAGAUAUAGAAGAUUCAAUAGUUGGUAAGAAGGUGGAAGUUCCUGCAGUAGAUCUAGUUAGUGUUUUAAAGCAUCAGUCUGGUGAAUCCAAUGAUUUGAAGACUAAUGAUGAUGAUGAGGUACUUAGGUUGAUAAAGAAGAGUGAGUUUAACAUGGUGGAGCAGUUGCUCCAAACCCCCUAGAAGAUUUCAGUACUGUCUCUGCUUAUGAAUUCAGAAAUGCACAGAGAAGCACUACAAAGAGUUCUAAAGCAAGCUUUUGUGGAACAUGAUGUUACAGUGGAUCAGUUUGAUCAUAUUGUAGCUAACAUCACUUCCUACAACAAUCUCAGCUUCUGUGAUGAAGAACUCCCUGAGGAGGGUAGGAAUCAUAACUUGGCUUUGCAUAUAUCCAUGAAUUGCAAAGAUGGCGCUUUAUCCAAUGUAUUAGUUGACACCGGGUCUUCCUUGAACGUGUUGCUGAAGUCAACUCUUUCAAAUCUCUCAUAUCAAGGAGCGUCGAUGAGAUAUAGUGGUGUAAUCGUCAAAGCUUUUGACGGUUCAUGCAAGACAGUGAUAGGUGAAGUGGACCUUCCAGUGAAGAUAGGUCCGAGUGACUUCCAGAUUACUUUUCAAGUUAUGGAUAUCCACCCAACCUACUGUUGUCUGUUGGGAAGGCCAUGGAUUCAUGAGGUGGGAGCUGUUACCUCCACGUUGCAUCAGAAGCUCAAGUUUGUCAAGAAUGGGAAGCUUGUCAUUAUUGGUGGGGAGAAGGCGCUGUUGGUUAGCCACUUGUCAUCUUUCUCUUACGUUGGAGCUAAGGAUGAGGUUGGAAUUUUGUUCCAAGCCUUAUCUAUUGUUGUUGAAAAGAGAGUUGGGGCACCCAUGUCCUCAUUGAAAUAUGCAAGGAAGAUUGUUGAAGAAGGUAAUAUGGAUCAAUGGGGGCGCAUGGUCGAGGUCUCCGACAACAAAAAUAGAACCGGUCUAGGUUUUCAGCAAGGUUCAUCAACUGCUAGAUCAGAGGAUAUGCAACUUAGCUUCCGUAGUGGAGGGUUCAUUCAUGGCAAUGAACAACACUUAGCUGUUGUGCUAGAGGAUGACGAUGAAGAUGACUGGACCAAUUUUGUGACGCAUGGAAAGGCUUGCAGCAAUUGGACUGAUGUUGAUAUUCCUGUUAUUUUGCAUCGAUCUAAGUAAUUGCUUUUAUUUGUUUUAAAAAAUCCUUCUCCUAUGCCUAAGGGGGAAGUGAACGUUGUUAGGCAUUUUCAAAAUUGAUCAUUGUCAUACCCCAAAAUUUGCCCGUUAAUUUUGCAAGACAUUUUUCAAGGCACUCCAACUCAUUACUCAAGGCAUUGAUCUUAAAGGAACAAAGACCUAGCACACAAGUGGUCAAAUCCAGAAAAUGGCUUAAAAUGGCUUGCUCGCUAGGCGAGCAAAAUCAUUCGCCUAGCGAACUCUUCGCUGCACCACUCGCCUAGCGAAGCUUGCGAAUACCAGAAACUUUGGGCUUCAUUCUGAGCCCAUUAGGUCACAAAAACUAUUAUAAAUACCAAGACCUCAUUCAGAAAAAGGGGAGGACGGACGGAGAAAGAAAAAGGGAGAAACACAAACCCACACAGACAGCAAACCCUGGAGGUUAACCAAGAGAAUUCAGAGCAACCCUAAAGGAAACCUCGAGGGAAACUCAUCUGCACAAAGGUUACCUCCGCCCAACUCAAUCUGGCACCAACCCUAAGAGUGAUCUGCCAAUUCAACGUUGCAAUUCAAUUGCAAACAGGUUUGCCUUACCACUACCCGCUUUAAUGCUGCCCUUUACUAUGUACAAUCAUGAUUGAAAUUUAUAAAUAUAUCUUGGUUUUUGCAUGUGGAUUUAAGUAUGCAUGGAUGCCUUGAAUGUUUAACCAUAUAAUUUCUGUAAUGGAUGCCAUAGGGUUGGAGCUUGCUGAAAUCGUACUGUUAUUAAACUCAAAACCCGCAGCCGUUCGCUAACACAUCGCUAAGCGAACAUGUAGCGAGUGUUCGCCAAGCCUUCGCUAGGCGAGGCAGUAGCGAACAUGACAGUCGCUGUUUUUUUCUUUUCUGUUCCGUUCUGUGUUUAUCUGACAUGUCAUAUCAUAGCUGUGUAUUAUUUGCCUGACAUUAUUACUGCUGCGUUCCUUUGUUCGGUGCAACUAUUGAUUGCACCCCAUUUGGUAUUCUGACCUGUUUUGCUGAAUUUUGUGAGGGCUCACAUACUCCCGGAGAAGGUAGCUUGCUAGGUAUUCCACUUUAUUUGUGGGAUACCCCUUGUGGAGAUUCAUCCUAAUUACCUAACUGAUUAUAAAUUGUUGCCUUUGAAUAUAUGAUCUUGGCCCUCUCUUUGUUGCCUUACGGUAUUGCGGUCAUGUCCCGCGAAUGUGGGGAUACAUUUAGCAAAUACCCUUCGGUUAAAUCAUCAUAGUCCCUCGAAUGUUGCCUUUGAAUACAUGAUUUUGUCCCUCGAUGACCCUUCGUGGUAGCCUACGGUUAAAUGAUGAUUGUCCCUUCGAAUGCUAAGGUAUCCUUACAAAUGUUGCCUUCAAUGACCAAUCGAUGACCCUACGAUGUCCCUUUACAUCCAAAGGAUAAGACUACUUAUUUCUCAAUAGUAAGGACAUUCUUACCCUCCUAAGGAUAGGAAAUACCUAUAAAGACCUUGGUUAGGUAUAACUCUUAAAUGCUGACUCACAACUUACAAUACUUUUCACACCUCCCACUUUUGAAAACGUCUUUUAGAAAAUCACCACUUGGUAUACAUUCGUACUAGAAUCAUUGCAAGUUAUAUUUUUCUAAACAGCUUUCAAAAUUAAACGAGAUAAAUACUUUGUAUACAUUCGUACAAGAAUCAUUACAAAGUUAAACUCUCUUUUCAAAACAUUUUCUAAACAGCUCUCAAACACUUUUUCAGACAAGAAAAACAUAAGUGAUUCAGCAAUUAAGAGCCCAUGGAUAACCAUGGAUACAAAGGGUGCUAACACCUUCCCUUUGUAUAAUGUACCUCCCGAACCCAAAAUCUAAUCAAGGUCUUUCCUGUUCUUUUCCGCCUUUCCUUAUUGGAUAAAAGAAAAGUCGGUGGCGACUCUUGCUAUCCGCGACAUUUGCUUUCCAAAGCAAAAACACACAAAGUCAGUUCACCGUAUGACAAUCAUCAAAAAAAUUAAUUAUAUUCAUCCACAUCUAUGAUGUUUUGUUUUUUACUUUUCGCUUUAUUCUGAAAAUGGUAAUCACAAAAAUAAAUAAAUAAACAAUAUAAUUGUCCAUCUGCAUAUUGUUUGGUCACAAAUUCACUUCUCUAAAAUCAAAAUAUCAAAUUGUUAUGCAGGUUGGUUUCUAACCCCAUUGAAUACAACGAUCCUUCUCCUUCUCCAAAUUUUGAAUUCCCUGUGUUUGAGGUCAAGGAGGAAAGUGAUGAAGAAGUGAGUGAUGGAUUGUCUCGUCUUCUUGAGCAUGAAGGAAAAUCCAUUCAGCCAUUCGAAGAGCAGAUUGAGUUAGUCAACUUGGGUUUCGAGGAUGAUGUGAAGGAAUUCAAGAUUGGGUCUCGACUGUGUCCAGAUACGAAGAAGGGGUUGGUUGAUCUUCUUUGAGAGUAUUCAGAUGUGUUUUCUUGGUCCUAUCAAGACAUGUCUAGUUUGGAUUCUGAGAUUGUGGAGCAUAGAUUUCCGUUGAAGCCAGAAUGUCCGCCAAUCAAGUAGAAGUUGAGAAGAACGCAUCCUGAUAUGGCAAUGAAGAUCAAAGAAGAAGUGCAGACGCAGAUUGAUGCUGGUUUCCUUGUGACCGUUGAGUAUCCGCAAUGGGUGGCCAACAUUGUGCAUGUGCCAAAGAAAGAUGGAAAAGUCCGCAUGUGUGUUGAUUAUAGAGAUUUGAAUAAAGCCAGUCCCAAAGAUGAUUUCCCUCUGCCACAUAUUGAUAUGUUGGUAGACAAUACUGCUAAAUUCAAAGUCUUUUUGUUUAUGGACGGAUUUUCCGGAUAUAAUCAGAUCAAGAUGGCACCCGAAGAUAUGGAGAAGACCACAUUCAUUACACCUUGGGGAACAUUCUAUUAUAGAGUGAUGCCUUUUGGUUUGAAGAAUGUUGGUGCAACUUACUAGAGAGCAAUGACUACUCUUUUCCAUGAUAUGAUGCAUAAAGAGAUUGACGUUUAUGUCGAUGAUAUGAUUGCCAAAUCGAUUGAUGAAGAGGAACAUGUUGAGCAUUUGUUGAAGUUAUUCCAGCAUUUGAGGAAGUACAAACUCCGCUUGAAUCCCAAUAAGUGUAGUUUUGGUGUUCGCUCUUGUAAGUUGUUGGGCUUUAUUGUCAGCGAGAAGGGUAUUGAAGUUGAUCCUGCCAAGGUCAAAGUAAUACAAGAGAUGCAUGCACCAAAAACCGAGAAGCAAGUCAGAGGUUUUCUCGGUCUCUUGAAUUAUAUCUCAAGAUUCAUUUCACACAUGACUGUCACAUGUGCGCCUAUAUUCAAGCUUCUUCGAAAAGAUCAAUCUUGUGAUUGGACCGAAGACUGCCAAAAAGCUUUUGAUAGUAUCAAAGAAUAUCUGCUUGAGCCUCUGAUUCUGUCUCCGCCUGUUGAAGGAAGACCGUUGAUCAUGUAUUUGACUGUGCUUGAAGAUAGUAUGGGUUGUGUUCUAGGUCAACAAGAUGAGAUUGGAAAGAAAGAAUUUGCAAUUUACUACCUCAGUAAGAAGUUCACCGACUGUGAGACUCAGUAUUCUAUGCUUGAGGAGACUUGUUGCGCAUUGGCUUGGGCUGCUAAGCGUCUGCGUCAAUAUAUGUUGAAUCAUACCACUUGGUUGAUAUCCAAAAUGGAUCCAAUCAAGUAUAUAUUUGAGAAGCCUUAUUUAACUGGGAGAAUUUCCCAUUGGCAGAUGUUGUUAUCAGAGUAUGAUAUUGAACACCGAUCUCAGAAAGCAAUCAAAGGUAGUGUCUUGGCUGACCAUUUGGCUCACCAACCAAUUGAAGAUUACCAGUCAGUGCAGUAUGAUUUUCCUGAUGAAGAGAUCUUGUACUUAAAAGUGAAAGAUUGUGAUGAACCAUUGCUUGAAGAAGGGCCAAAACCUGGUUCUCGUUGGGGCAUGGUAUUUGAUGGAGCUAUUAAUCAAUAUGGUAAUGGCAUUGGGGCAAUGAUCAUUACUCCUCAAGGCACGCAUUUUCCAUUUACAGCUAGAUUGACUUUCAAGUGUACAAAUAAUAUGGCAGAAUACGAAGCUUGCUUUAUGGGGCUCGAAGAGGCCAUUGAUCUCAGUAUCAAGCAUUUAGAUGUCUUUGGAUAUUCAGCUUUGGUUGUGAAUCAGAUCAAAGGUGAAUGGGAGACGAAUCAACCCGGUUUGAUACCAUAUAGAGAUUAUGCGAGGAGGAUUUCAACUUUCUUUAUAAAGGUUGAGUUUCAUCAUAUCCCUCGAGAUGAAAACCGAAUGACAGAUGCUCUUGCAACGUUGGCAUCAAUGAUUAUAGUGAAAUAUUGGAAUAAGGUUCCCAACUUGACUGUGAUGCGUCUUGAUAGGCCAGCUUAUUUUUUUGUUGUUGAAGAGAUCAAAGACGAGAAACCAUGGUAUUAUGACAUCAAGUGUUUCCUCCAAAGUCAGAUUUACCCGCCUGGGGCAUCGUUGAAAGAUAAGAAGACUUUGAGAAGAUUAGCCGACAACUUCUACCUGAAUGGUGAUGUAUUGUAUAAGAGAAACUUCGAUAUAGUUCUACUUAGAUGCGUGGAUAGACACGAAGCAAACCUAUUGAUGACUGAAGUCCAUAAAGGUUCCUUUGGUACUCAUUCCAAUGGACAUGCUAUGACAAAGAAAAUGUUGCGAGCAAGUUACUAUUGGAUGACAAUGGAAUCUGAUUAUUGCAAGUUUGUGAAGAAAUGCCACAAGUGUCAAAUAUAUGCAGAUAAGAUUCAUGUUCCUCCAACACUGUUGAACGUUAUUUCCUCCCCGUUGCCCUUCUCCAUGUGGUGAAAUGAUAUGAUUGGCAUGAUUGAGCCCAAAGCGUCGAAUGGACAUCGUUUCAUUUUGGUGGCAAUCGACUACUUCACAAAAUGGGUUGAAGCGGCAUCGUAUGCAAAUGUAACCAAGCAAGUUAUUGUGAGGUUUAUCAAGAAUCAGAUUAUAUGCCGGUACGGUGUGCCAAGUAAGAUCAUUACUGAUAAUGGAUCGAACUUGAACAAUAAUAUGAUGGAAGCUCUUUGCAAGGACUUCAAGAUCGCACAUCAUAAUUCUUCUCCCUAUAGACCCAAGAUGAAUGGGGUUGUUGAAGCUGCGAAUAAGAACAUCAAGAAGAUCAUUCAGAUGAUGGUUGUGACAUAUAAGGAUUGGCAUAAAAUGCUCUUAUUUGCUUUGCACAGGUAUCGUACAUACAUCCGCACUUCAACAACGGCAACCCCUUUCUCUCUUGUAUAUGGUAUGGAAGCAAUGCUCCCCGUAGAUGUUGAGAUUCCUUCGUUGUGUGUGCUCAUGGGAGCCAAGUUGACAGAGGCUGAAUGGUGUCAGACCAGGUAUGAUCAGCUAAAUUUAAUCGAAGAGAAGAGAUUGACUGCCAUGCGUCAUGGUCAGUGUAACACCCCAAAAUUUGCCCUCCUCAUUCAUGCAUUCAUUUUUAGGUCAUUUAACAUUUCAUAUUGCAUUUCAUCAUAUCAAUCAAAAUCAGAUCCAAGAAACUUUAUUUUAAAAAAAAAAACGAAAAAAAAGUUUACCGACUGUGAACAAAGAUACUCACUGCUCGAGAAAACUUGCCGCGCUUUGGCAUGGGCUGCUCGCCGACUAAGACAGUAUAUGUUGACUCACACGACUCUAUUGAUAACAAAGAUGGAUUAAGUCAAGUAUAUUUUUGAAAAGCCAGCAGGGUUGCUAGGUGGCAAAUGAUGCUGACAGAGUAUGACAUCCAAUACACUUCACAAAAAGCCAUCAAAGGAAGUGUCUUGUCAGACUAUCUUGCACGAACCGAUUGAUGGAUAUUAACCAUGAGAGGUUAGACUUUCCUGAUGAGGAUCAUGUUUCUCAAAUCGACAAGCUGCGGAGACCCUCCCAGAGGACCGGGGCUGACCGCCCUGUAAUCCAAAAUGGUUAGCGAUGUUUGAUGGGCGGUCAACAGUCAAUGGUGCGGUGUUGCAUGCAGUGAUUGAUCACACGCGGAGGGUUCUAUGCUUAAAGUUUUGCUGCCAGAUACCUUUUCCCGUGCACCACAAUAAGCCGGACAGCCGAGAAUGGUCGUUCUCAAUCAUUGCAGCUAAGCGAGUGAGGAAAGCACUAGCAGUUAUUGCAUGGCCAGCGAUUCAGAGCAGCGAAGAGCGUUUGAUCAGAAAGUGCGCCUCGGGCAGUAUCGAGCGGUGAUUCGGUACUCAAAAGACUUCUUCCUCCCCAACACGAUUCAGGGGCAAAAUGACAGCGAAACGAGGGUCCAUACGUGGUUAAAGAGUUUUCUCUGGCGGAGCUCUGAUUGCUACACAAACCAUGGAUGGCGGAAGACCUUCCCCGUCCCUGUCACUCAGACGCCAGUUCAAAAAUACUUCGCUAUAAAUAGAUCCCGUGGACAGAGUAAAAGAAUAGUCAGGCAAAAGGCGCAUCCGACGAACCAAAAAGAAUGAAAGGGUUCGGAGCAACAUUAGGGAUAUAAAAAAUGUCUACCCGGUGAGUUCGAAACACGAACAGACGGGUCAGCAAAAAGAGUCCCGGGUGGAUUGAAACCCAAAGAGGGCGUCCCGCAAAAGUUAGGGAAUAAGCGUAAUAACUGACAUGCUGAGUCAUCCGUGUUCUAUCACCGUUUCAUUAUCCAGGCAUCUUCGAAGGUAAGAUCGACUAUCAUCCACUUCAGAAAAGCAAGAUGAGCAAGAGCGUCUUGAGGCUACGAGCCAUAGCAGGGUUCGAAUCCUGGUGGACCCCGUUCCCCAUCAUCUGAGGUAGUUUCUCUUGUUCAACUUUAUCGAGUCGCCUGCUUCUCGGGAUCAGUUCUCGUGAUGCUCUACCCGAUAUUCCUGGAUAAGAUUUUUUCAACCAACAAAAGUCCGAUAUUCAGUUAAAAGCGCCUCUGACUUUUCAUUUAUCGUUGGUUUGCAAAAGAUGUCUGCAUUCUUGAGGAAAUAUUUGCCCUGAAUUGUAAUGGUGGCUUUUUGAGAAUGACUUGCGCAGGAACAACGUCAAAAUGCUUUGAAUGUUGCUUAUCGCGGCGCGUGAUACAAACCGAGUAAUUCCCCCGGGGCUACGGUAUUUUUUGGUUACAGGUCCAGCGAACCGGAUGCAAGUUCUGAAUUCCUGCACCGCCACGGCAUUGCUAAAGCCCUGUCUUCUCUGCCUAGAGCAGUUUCCCCGACACCGGUUAGAGCUGUUCGGACGAGUUCCAGACGACUAUCCCCUAGUAGUAGUUCACGUAUCCAGACUGUAUAUCCCCUGCGGAGUCGACAGUGCUAGGACUGUAUCCUCCAGCAACGCGGGUAGUCGCAUACCAUAAGACAAGAGGUGGUGUUCUUAGUGUUAUCUCGUCCCCAGCAAAUUAUCUUUUUUAACAGAUUUGUUUUAAUUCCCAGCCUGAGGACAUUAGCAGUUCAUAUCCCAGCAAAGCGUCCGAUUCUUACGACAUUUCCCCAGGAAGUGCUUUCUCACAGACUCUCCUCGCAGGCGCUCGCCAAGCAAAGUUUCCAUAGUUGAUACUUCCCCAGCAAGGUCAACUUUUCAAAAGGCGCAUUUAUUUUCGGUGGCUCCCCGGUCCCGGCAGGACGGAUCGUUCCCCACAGAGCAUUCAAGGAUUGAAUACAGCGAUCCGCUCCCUGCCAGAGUUGCCUUCCCCAAGCAGAUUUCUUGUUUUCUUUUGCACAUGAUCAUUUGCAUUUGCAUGGCAUAUCAAACAUACACAUAAGCUGUGAUAAACAGGUUCUAUCAGCAAGCUGAAAAAUUACUUUAACCAAAGUCUAUGGAUUCGGCCAGAAGGAUCAAGUGUGUGUGUGACCCAGCAUGAGGGUCAUUUCAAAGAUUCAGCCUGAGAAUCGUUUUCCAGAGAUCCAGCCUGAGGGUCAUUUCGAAGAUCAUCAGAGAGUCGACUACGAGCGGUUAUUUCCCCAGCGAAGCCAGCUGAGAAUAGAUUGACAGGCUCACAGAAAAUCAACUACAGAGGGAUCCAGCCCGCGGAUCGCAUUAAAAAACAAAGUCUAAUUGAGAGUUCGUUUAUAACAUGUUCUAGCCUGAAGAAUAUGUACGAGCCCAAAAGUGGGUUUCUCGAAGCUGCCAUAUCUAACCAUUGAGGACUGAUGUUAGUCCGAAGAGCGGUCAACAGCGCCAUGCGUCCCAGAUUGCGAGAUCUGUAUGAUCGGCGAAUUUAUGCAUCAAAACAAUAAUAUCUAGCCAAGAGAUCAAAGUCGGUCUGCCUCGAAAGACCGAAAAAUAGAUAGAAUGUCGGGCCAAGAGAUCAGAGAAAAUAGAUGGGUGCCUCAGAAUCCGAAAAAUUAGAUCUAGCCAGAAGAAUCGAAAGUAGGAUGUCAGCCAGAGAAUUCAAAGAAAAUUGAUGUCAUGCAGGAUCGUAACAAGGAGAUCGUAGCCAGAAGACGGAAGUCAGGUCUAGCCGAAAGCGAAAUAGAUUCAGCCGAGAGAUUUCAAACAAUUCAGAGUCUAGCCAGAAGAUCUAGCCAGAGAUCGAAUAUGAUUCAGCCAGAGAAAUCGAACAGUAUUCAGAUCUAGCAGCAGAUCGAGGAAGAAUGUAGCUCAGAGAUCGAAGUCAGGUCUAGCCCGAAGAACCUGGAAGUAGAUUCAUCCAGCAGGAAUCGACAGACAAUUCAAUCGUAGCCAGAAGAUCGAAAGGUAGAUUCAGCCACAAGAAUCAACAGAAAUAGAGAAUCAGCCAGAGGAUUCGAAACAAAGGAGAUUAGCGUAGAAAGAUCGAAGAAGAUCUAGCCAGAGAUCGACUAGAAGAUCUGGCCAGUAAGAUAUGAAACCGUAUCCAGCCUACGAGCGAUCAAAAUUACAUCAAUCCAGAGGACUAAACUUGAGUAUGCGCUUCAGGAGAGGAUCGAGACUCCAGAUUAGUCAGAUGACUGAUUCAGGAUUGCAGUCACGGGGAUCGAGAAGGAAUAAACAGCGCGUGUAUUUCAGCAUUUUUGUUGGUUGUUCUCGAGCGCCCAAUUUUUUUUCGGUCUGUCUUUCUUUUUGGUAUUUCAAUCACAGCUCACCCUGUUUGUCUGAUAAGUUGUUCGCUUUCAUCCUGCUCGGGUUAGCUGAUGACUGAAUAGGGGCAGCUGUAACACCCCAAAAUUUGCCCUCCUCAUUCAUGCAUUCUUUUUUAGGUCAUUUAACAUUUCAUAUUGCAUUUCAUCAUAUCAAUCAGAAUCAGAUCCAAGAAACUUUAUUUAAAAAAAAAACGAAAACAAAAAAAAAAGAAAAACGAAAACGAAAAAAAAAUGAAAAUAAAAACGAAAAACGAAAAAAAUAAAUAAAUAAAAAUAAAUAAGUAAAUAAAUAAAUAAAAAAUCUCAGACUUGGACUUCUCUCAAAAGCCCACUAAGCUACCAAUAUUAGCCUAUAAAUACUAGAGUUUCAUUGAAACAAAACAGACAGAAAAAAGAAGAGAAACAAAAUACUCUGAGGUUUCCUUGGAACAAAACCCUGGACAAAACCUGGAGAGAAACCUAACAGAGAACUCAGAGCAGCCUCCAAACCCUGAAGGGAACUCAACUGCACAGAAUCACCUCUGCCUCACAUAAACCCUAAAGAUUGUUUUGUAAACCUCACGGGUGCAACUCAAUUUCAAUCAAGCUCUCCAAUCAGGUUUGCCCUUAUUCCCAUUACCUUUAUGCUCUUAAUUUGGAUCAUCUGAAUGUAUGAGGUAUGAUGGAUGAAUUUCAUUAUGUUUUUGCCCACGGGUUUUAAAUGUAUAUGAAUGUAUAAAUAAUGCCUUAAAUGCUUAAUCCUUAUCGUGUUUCACUAACCCUUUUGUUGAGUUUUUGUGAGGGCUCACAGGACUUUUGCAGGGAUAGCUCGCUAGAUAUUCCACUUUGCUCGUGGGAUACCAUUUGGGAGAUUUAUUCUGAUUGCCUUGUUGGCUCAUUUACUUUAUACAUGUUUGUUUUGUAUGUGUUCGUAUCCCCACAGGUAGCGCGGUUCCUUCGUCGAGGACUGCCCUUUCGCCCUUGAGCAUCCCCAAACCCUAAAACCCAAAGCAACACGUAAACUCCUUCUACUACAGGCGAGUAAGUCUCCAAAGGUCGAGCAUCCGGUAGAUUGCGUAGUAACGUCGUUCGUCCAAAACCCAAUCCAUAACCCCGUAGUUAGCCGAACUACGGCUUGCUCUGAUUCUCAUUCCAGAUGAGAUACGUAGGCAUAAGACGCGAUGUCUUAGCGAGCACANNNNNNNNNNNNNNNNNNNNNNNNNNNNNNNNNNNNNNNNNNNNNNNNNNNNNNNNNNNNNNNNNNNNNNNNNNNNNNNNNNNNNNNNNNNNNNNNNNNNNNNNNNNNNNNNNNNNNNNNNNNNNNNNNNNNNNNNNNNNNNNNNNNNNNNNNNNNNNNNNNNNNNNNNNNNNNNNNNNNNNNNNNNNNNNNNNNNNNNNNNNNNNNNNNNNNNNNNNNNNNNNNNNNNNNNNNNNNNNNNNNNNNNNNNNNNNNNNNNNNNNNNNNNNNNNNNNNNNNNNNNNNNNNNNNNNNNNNNNNNNNNNNNNNNNNNNNNNNNNNNNNNNNNNNNNNNNNNNNNNNNNNNNNNNNNNNNNNNNNNNNNNNNNNNNNNNNNNNNNNNNNNNNNNNNNNNNNNNNNNNNNNNNNNNNNNNNNNNNNNNNNNNNNNNNNNNNNNNNNNNNNNNNNNNNNNNNNNNNNNNNNNNNNNNNNNNNNNNNNNNNNNNNNNNNNNNNNNNNNNNNNNNNNNNNNNNNNNNNNNNNNNNNNNNNNNNNNNNNNNNNNNNNNNNNNNNNNNNNNNNNNNNNNNNNNNNNNNNNNNNNNNNNNNNNNNNNNNNNNNNNNNNNNNNNNNNNNNNNNNNNNNNNNNNACUCCUUCUACUACAGGCGAGUAAGUCUCCAAAGGUCGAGCAUCCGGUAGAUUGCGUAGUAACGUCGUUCAACCCUUAACCCAUAGGUAGUCAAACUACGGCUUGCUCUGAUUUUCAUCCCAGAUGAGAUACGUAGGCAUAAGACGCGAUGUCUUAGUGAGCACAAUUACCCUUAACCCCUAGGUAGCCGACUACGAAGACUCUGAUCUCAUAUUCAGAUGAGAUACGUAUAGCAGUGGAUGCGACAUCCGUGCGAGUCAUUUUCUUUUGACCCUUUUUUUAGUAAAUAACACAUUAGAAUAAACCCACACCCUUUAGACAAGAACUACAAAAGUGGAUCCCUAGAGUACUACAGAUGCGUAGGGGUGCAUACCUUCCCUUCGCAUAAUCGACUCCCGAACCCAAGAUUUGGUUGCGAGACCCUGUCUGUCCUUUCCUUUUUCCAAGUUUACUUCGAGCGUUUCCUUUCCCUCCUUUGGGAUAAAUAACGCACGGUGGCGACUCUCCUGUCUUUCUUCGCCGGUUGUUUUUUUUCGCAUUCCAUUUUUCAGGUUGCGACAGUCAGUUAUAUUAGUAGAGGAUGAAGAAAGCUUUUGACAAGAAGGUCAGACCUCGCGUAUUCAGGGAAGGUGACCUUGUGCUUAAGAAGAUUUUAUCUUUUAAACCAGAUGCUAGGGGAAAAUGGACUCCUAAUUAUGAUGUCCAAUAUGUUGUUAAAAGAGCCUUUUCAGCCGGUGCUUUGAUUCUUACAACUAUGGAUGAUGAAGAGUUCACUCGUCCUGUGAACGCAGAUGCAGUCAAGAAAUACUUCGCCUAAAAAAGAAAAUAACAACUCGCUAAGUUGAAAACCCGAAAGGGCGGCUUAGGCAAAAAUGAGCGUCUCGGUGGAUUGAAAACCCGAAAGGGAGAUCUAGGAAAAAGUUAGAGACAUAAAACAGAAAGAAUCAUCCCGAUAAAUUGAGUACCCCACCUUAGGACAAUUUAUGCAAAAAUUAGGGAUUAUGGAAAGUAACUACAUCCUACUGAUCUUCAAUUUGUAAAACUUUAUUGAGCACAAUGUUCGACAGUGAUACAUCACCCCAGUAGCGGCCAAAAGCACAGUGGACAUCAAGAGUUGGUGGAAGGAUUGGUGGUCAUUUGUAUUCAAUGUAACCCUUUUCCAUGUAAAUUACCAUUUUCAACUUUGUAAAGAUAUAUGGAGUCUUGUCAUUUACAGACUAUUAUUCUAUUAAAUAAAGUUGAGCUUUUAUCCAAUUGUUUCCACUCUUAUUUAUUUCAGCAAAUAGUUUUAAAUUUUAUUAUGAUCAUUUUUGAAAUUAAAAUUUUUGAUAAAAAAUCAUUUUUUUCUUAAAACAUAUAAAAGCAUGAAUUUUAAACAAUCAAUUUCAUUUAAAAGGAAUAUCAAAAGUGGUUCGAAAGCAGUAAGCCCUAAGUGUGGAGCAGUAUUGGUUCUCCCCAAGAAGUAGGCGUGAUUUCUCUUUCAUCCCUGACAACAUUCUUCAGCACUCGACUUUUUGUUCGUCAUCCCCUGCGGAGUGUUUUCCCCCAGCGGAUCUUGUGGUUAUUCCCCAGCGAGGUUGAUGACUUUUACCCGACCAUUUUCACCUCCAGCAGGAUGAGGAUGAUGUCCUCAGCAGUUCACAUGAUUGUAGUAGAACUUUGGUUUCAUCACCAAUCAUCAUCAAAUUCGCUCCCGGUCAGAGUUUCCCCCUGGACUCUGGGCAGCUAGUUAUGUUUAUCCCCUGCAGGGUUGUCUCCCAUUUGAUAUGGUGUUGACCUAAAAUUCCUCACAGACUCGAUAACAUUUUUCUCAGCAGAUCUCCUUCUUCCCUAGCUAGGUUUGAGCCUUUGGGAUGUUGAUCUCUCUUUUCUCCAGCAUUUGUCUCCCCCUCUUAUGGAUUGACCGAGAAUUGUACCGAUGAAUCAAAGUUGUGACACCUUUGUAUCCUUUGCGAUCGUUUUGUCAGCAUAAUCAUCAUAUACAUAUACAUAUAUGCACUCAUAUAAUUUCAUUAUUGCAACAUCACAUUGAUUGUUGCAUUCCUAUGAUCUUAAAUUCUCUGUUAUCGUGGUACUUUAUACCCAUACAAAUUUGGUGUCUGAAUUCCCUCAAUUGUAGAGUGUCGUCCUCUUAAGCAGAAAAGACUUUAACCUUUCUCCUUUCCCCACUGAGUUAUUUCCUCGUGGAUGAUUACUAUUUCAGUUUCCUCCCCAGUUGGUUAUCUCGAUGGAACUACUCCCCUUGAGAUAUAUCCUCAUUGGGUUGAGUCUUGAUUGACCGUUUCUUUCUAGAUCUUACCUAGAUAGAUGUUUUAGGUACCCUAAGAGUUUAUUACCCAGUAACUGGUAAUAUCCUUCUUAGUUUGCAGUUUGCUACUUCUUGCCCAAUACCCGACAAAAGUACCCAUGUUUUCUCCUCAGUGGAGUCCCUAGUGGAUUCAUUUUUUGUGAUUCCCCAAGAAGUAUAUCCUUGAUAUGUUUGUCCUAACCGAUGACAAAUAUUUUCUUCCCCUACUUUGAGUUUAUCCUUGAUAUGUUCAUCCUAACCGAUGACGGAUACUCUCACCUUUGGUAUUCUACCCAGUAAAAAGGUAGUUGUAAUCCCUAUUUUAGUUCCCCAGAGAGUUAAUCCUUGAUAUGUUCAUCCUAACCAAUGACAUAUUUCCUUCUCUUUGCGCUCUUCUACCCAGUAACUGGUAGCUGUAAAUCCUUCUUUUUCUCCCCUUUGCAGAGUUAAUCCUUGAUAUAUUCAUCCUAACCGAUGACAGAUUCUCUCUGUUAUGGUAUUCUAUUCAGUAACUGAUAGAUGUAAUUCCUAUUUCCUUCCUCAUAGAGUCUAUCCUUGAUAUGUUCAUCCUAACCGAUGACAGACUUUCUCUUUGAUUAGUUUUCUAUCCAUCAUUCGAUAGAUGUAAUUCCUACUUUUUGUUUAGUGGGUUUAUCCUUGAUAUGUUCAUCCUAACCGAUGACGGAUUUUCUUUCCUUUGAGUCUAUCCUUGAUAUGUUCAUCUUUGGUCUUCUUCCCAGUAACUGGUAGUUGUAAAUCCUAUUUUUGUAGUUUUCCCCCCAGCAAGGUUAUUCUUACCCAGUAACCGAUAAUGAAUACUCCCUCCUGGCGAUUCCCAGCAAGUCAUCCUUGAUAUGUUCAUCUUAACCGAUGACGGAUGUCCUCUCUGUCAGAUCUUUAUUAUCUCUUUACCCAAUAACAGGUAGUGGAUAAUAAAUCUCUUCUCCUCCUGUGUCGAAGUCUAUUUCUUCCUUACUUCCCCAGUUGAGUUGAGUGCGUAUUUCCUUUGCGAAAUCGCUAUUCCUGCAUGAUUCAAGUACGUCAGUUUUAUCCUAAUCUAUUUGUUUCCCCUGCAGAGGUUCUUUUGUUUCCCCCGGCUGAGUCUUUCCAUGUUUAUGGAAUUCCUCUAGUCUCCCAGCAGUUUUUAAGUCGUAGCCUGACCUAAGCAUAACCCUUUUUUAUCCCUUCAGAGUCUCUGUCUUCCCCAGUGAGUUUUCUUUAUGGAAUGCUUUAUGCUCCUGCGGACCUUCGGUCUCUCUGAUUUCUUUUCGUUUGUGGCAAUAUUUCCCCACAGAGAAUUUGCUUUCACAUUCAUAUCAUAAGCAUCAUGAGGUCUCUUAGGGACCAAAAUUUGUUUAUAUACGUUGUUAUUUAAGCCCAUUCUACCGAGUCGAUGCGAAGAUUUUAACCUUCACCUCCUCAGUUAGAAUGUCCUUAAAUAGGGGCAGCUGUCAGACCCCAAUUUUGACCCUAAGAUCCCUCAUGCAACUUCAUCAUAUGCAUUAGAAUUGGGAUCAUACCUUGGUAUCCUCCUCACCCUUUUUUCAUUGGGUUUGUUUUGGGAGAGAUCACCAAGCACCAUGUGAUUGUAACAUACUUGUAUAUUAUCCUUUUUACUAACCCAAAUACCAAAAAUAUGUCUUUGCAUUUGCCUAACUCUUUUGUAGGUAGGGCAUGAUCCCCAUUGAUCUAGCAAGCUCAUAUCUAGGGUUUAAGACCCUUAUGGAUAAAAGAACAACUAAGGAUGUAUCCACAAUGUCUCAAAGAAUCAUAUAUGAGUCCCCAUGAUCUUCAUAUGUUACUUUAAUCAAGUAUUCUUCAAGAGUUUGGAGGUAGUUUGCCUUGGAAACCCUAGUUUGUCUAGGUAUCUUAAGUAACUUCUUCAACAAGCUACCUCACCAAUUGAUCAAAUUUUCUCAAGGGGCACUUCAAAUUUCAUCAUCUUAUGAAUAUAUGAUCUACCAUGAUCCAAAAAGUCAAGAGAAUUGUAAGUUAGCAAGAUGGUUGAUGGUGGUUGGCCAGAUGAAUUCAUCUAAUCAAAACUGGGUCUCCCUAGAUUUUGUCUGGCCUCAAUUUUGUCUAAAUCCAAGUAUAUAAGAAGAUACAGGGAGUUGAAUUUUGAGGAUCAUGAUCUGAGUUACUUCGAUUUGAGCUCUAAGCAAUUCAAUCUUGUUGCCUACAUUGGUAGAGUGGAGAAAUAAGAGAGAAUUGAAGAGUGGAAAAAUCUGGAAAAUCACCUUUAAUGUAGCUUCAGAUUGGCACAAUCUUGCUCUAAAUUAUGCUUGGCCUUGCUUCAGAUGCUUGAUGGAGUAUAAAUGAAUCAAGGAAAAGGAUAGACUCUUGGAUUUUCAAUCUCAAAAACAGUGGGAGAUUCAAACUCGGUUUUUGAAGAAAAUCUUCAAGCUUAUCCUUUAAUGGUGAGGGUUUAGGGUUGCUGAAUCAAAUCUUGCACGCCAGGCCUCUAUUUCUGAGCAAGAGAGCUUCUAUUUAUAGGCCAAUGAGAUUGAUAAUUGCACACUUCCAUUUUUGGCAAAACUUGAAAAUAUCUCUUACAUGCUUGCAUGGGCGUGUGAUAGGCCCAUGAAGUGAUGCACCAUGGUCCAAAAUUGAGUGUAAGCCAUGCUAAAAUCAUGUUGUCAAGCCAUGCAUUCAUGUAUGAAAAGUGGAACUUGAAAUUAUCCAAAUGGUCCUUCAACUUUAACCCAGGCGCAAGUUAUUCAUCCUUUAUCCAAAUGAGAUGAUUUUAGACUUUUUGGAAAGGUUAGAUCAAGAGGAACAACUUUCAUGUGGAACACUUUUUUAUUUGAAGCUUGGAUCAUGAUGAAUUUUUAGGUGGAAGUGUAGUAAAUCAAACAUGUGAAAAACAAAUUUAAGUAACAAGCCAUAUGUUCACUUCUUCCACCUUGAAUAACUUUUUAUAUGGGCUUCAAAUGAUAAAGGUUCCUUCAUCAAAGUUGUAUCUCUUUCAAACACAUUCAAUUUGGUCACAUGUUUGACAUUAUUUGGAUUUAGCAUGAAGUAGUUAUGCCUUUUAGAAAUUGAGGAAAAUCACUUGUUCAAUGGUAUUGGCCCAAAAUGACCUGUAAUGUUUCCUCUUGGCACAUGCAUAUGAAAGUUGAAUUUGAACUUACUCCAAACAUAAAAGUUGAAGUUGACAUCUUGAAUUUGAUCAUGAAAUUUGAAUGGAUUUCAUCUCAUAAAAAUGAGAAAGUUAUGGUCUUGGGAAUUUGACCUCCAAAUUAGGGUUUAGACAAAAUGACCUAUAAUCUUUCACCAUAAAAAAUGACUUUCCAAUCCAAACUAGCUCUUGAACUAAACAUGAAAGUUUUCUGGAGUGUAAUUUAGAGUAACUUUGAUCUUGGAAUCAUUUUGAUAUGAUAAAAAUUGUAGGAUAUAGGGUCUAGGGAACCCCAGUUUUGACCAGUUGAAUUCCUCUGGUCAACCACCAUGGACCAGCUUGCUAGCUUGAUAUUCUCUUGACUUUUGGGACUCAUGGAGGAUCAUAUAUGCAUAAUAUGAUGUAAUAUUAAUUAUCCCUUGAAAUAUUUGAUCAAUUGGUGAAGAAACUUGUUGAAGAAGUCACACAAGAUACCCAGAUGAAUUAGGGCUUCCAAGGCAAACAAGCUUCAAACUCUUGAUGAUUUCUUGAUCAAAAUAACAUGUGAAGAUAAUGGGGAUCCAUACAUGAUACGUAGAGCCAUAGUAAACCAUUUAUUGAUUGAGAUCCUUGCAUUGAGGGUCUUGAACCCUAAAUAUGAGCUUGAUAGAUCAAAGGUGAGCAUACACACUACCUGCAAAGGAGUUAAACUAUAUAUUGACAUAUUUUUGGUAUUUUGGUUAGUAAAUAAAGAAAAAUGAAGUAUGAUACAAUCAAAUGUGCUUGGUGAUCUCUCCCAAUGCAAACCUAAUGAAUGAGGGGUAAGGAGGAUGCCAAGGUGUGAUCCAAAUGCUAAUGCAUAUGAUGAAAUGGCAUGAGGGAUCUUAGGGUCAAAAUUGGGGUCUUACAGAAACACCAUAUAAAAGAAAUAGUCUAUGGACUGAUUUAUUGAGCCAAUCGAUUGGCACAAAACUCCAAUCGACUGGAUAACUCAUUUUUAGUCAAUAGCAAGUCUAAAUAGGAAAUAUAAGAUAUAGAUUCAUUGCAAUUCAUUAAAGAUAUAAGCCUUUUACAUUACUCAGAUCGCUCAGACGAACAGACAAAUAGACCUUACAAGCUUUCACACUUUAUUCAAGGCUUCGAGAUUCUUUGCUAGAUUGUUUCUGAUCAUAUAAGCCUUUUUAUCUUGAUAAUUAUUUUGUUGAUGAAUAAAGAUAUGUUUAUCUAGUUAUAUUUCCAUUAUCGAGGUUGAAAGGUAUUGUCACUGACUUUAGUCAUUGUUGUCGUCAUCAAAACUUCAAAUGGAUCAUGUGCAACAUUUUCAACUUUUAUACCUACAAGCACAUAGAUCCACAUUCUUCACUUUUUUGAUGAUGGCAACAUAUCUCUCGGGGAGGUGGUAAAGAAAUAAAAAAUAUGUGUUUGGAGUGUUUAAACUCCCCCUAAAUUAAGUAGAGAGUAUACUAUAAUCCUCUGAGAGAAUACUUCUUCCACUUUUUCAAAAUAAAAAAUAUGGAUAAAAAUAUGUAUUUGAGAGGUAAAAUAUAUAAACUUAAGCAUAUAACCCCCAUGUAAAAGGAAAAAAUUGUCUUAUAGAGAUGGACAUGAGCAGUCUAGAUUAAGUCAUAAAGAAUAGGAUCUAAGAGCUUAUUUCUCCCUACCGAAGGUAGCAUCUAACAUUAAAAUUUCACGAUAUUUAAACUUUGGAGAACCUCUUUUCCUUGAUUCUUUCUCGAGAACAUAAUGAAGGUAAUGGAAACACAAGAAAUGGGGUUUAAAUUGGGUUUCAUUAAAUAAAACUUUUGCAACCCAAGGAUACAAACAAAAUACUAAGAACAACAAUAAUGAACAUAAUUAUUUUUAUCUUGGUUCGAUGUAAACAAAACUACCUCCAAUCCACCCGCAAAGGUGAUUUUUCCUAAUCACAAGGACUUGGUCCACUAUAAUAAAACUUGAUUACAAUAAAAAGACCAUUUGUCAAUUUCUUCUUGAGUAAUUAUGACUAAACCCUAGUCACUCAAGGAAAUACAAUCACCAAGAUUGAGAUACAAAGUGUGUUUACAAAAUGCUUCUAAGAAAGCAGAAUUCAUACAUGAAUUACAAUUGUAUCACAUAAAAUAUAUUCUAUGAAGAUUAUGAACAAAAGUUUCUUGUGUGUAUGUUUCUUUUCUCUCAAAUAUUUCACAAUAUGCACUGCUCACAAAUAUGAUAAUCUCUUAGAGUGUAGAAUUGUUCAAUUCUUCCAAGUCUUCUUUAGAUAGGCAAUGAAGAGAUCCGUUUGAGGGUAGAAUUAGAAUAAUUAAAUGCAAUUAUAUCCUUUCAAAAUGGUCUAUGAAAAUGGGAGACAAAAUGGUACAAUAGUACAUUCCUUGGCCUACAAAAUUAGUGUAGUGGAAGGAAUAUUUGAUCUUGUACUGUGUACUAUUUUCUCACGUAAAACCUUUGAUCUUAUCUUCAAUAUUCAGGGGCUUCUGAUAGAGAGGUGAUGAAGCAUGCAUAAAAGGAUAGUAAGAGUUUGGUUGUGAGAAUAUUCAUAAACAUGGUCUUCCAAUCUUGAUACAGUUCAUAUGAACCUGGUCUUCAAAGUCUGGUGACACAGUUCAAAGUUGUUGGAGCGCAAGGCUUCAAAGCUUAACAUCGUCAGAAGUCUCAGAGUCAUACAUCUUUGGAUAGACAAUGUUCAAAGCGAUGAGUACAUAAUCCAGAGCUUGAUUAUCUUGUAGAACACAUAUCUCAGAGUCAUAGUGCACUAGGUUUAGAAUAUGAUGACGUUAAAAGUCAUUCUAUCAGAGCCAGAACUUGUAAGUAGUAUCUGCACACUAAACAAAACCAUUAGGAUAAAAAAUUGUUCUCUAAGAGUCUAUGUAUUGUUGCCAUGAAUACAUAAGGCUAGAUGUGGAACCAAAUAUUAUUCUUACAAUCUCCCCCUUUUUGAUGAUGAUAAAACCAUGAAUUUUGAUGAAUAAUUUUUACUUGGUUUAAUCACAUAAAAGCAUCAGAGUAAGGUUUGUAAGUUCCCUAUGAGUUUUAUACUAUUAAAAUUAUUUCUUAACUUAAAACUUUAGAGUUCGAUUUGUAAGCUCCCCCUGAGUUUAAAAUUUAAAAUAAUUCUAGCAUAUAAAAUAUCUCAAUCCGCAUGAAAGAAAUAACUUCCAUGAAUGAGGAAGUCUGGUUGAAAUAUCUUCUGAUUUGACUUGUACUAAGUUAGAGUCUUGAUUAGAUUCCUUGUAUCAGAACUUGAUUAUAAAUUCUCAAUUUCUUAUAUCAAGGCCCGAUUGGAAACUGGCUUGAGUCAGAGCUUGGUUUAAGAACCAUAUAUGCAUGAUUAACGCCUAUUUAACUAUGAAGUCGUGGUUAACUUAACUACUGAAUAACGUAGUUAACUUGACUAAAAAAAUCAUCUUAGCAACAUUGGGGAACUUUAUCAAAGUGUCCAGAUUAGUGAUCAGAGUCAAGAAAGUAAGAAGUAUCCACAGUCAAAUGUUUAGGAUUCAGAAGGGAAAUAAGUAUAUGAAAAUCGUGUCCAUUCUUCUCCCCCUUUUUCAUCAAUCAAAAAGAAAACAUGAAUAACGAUAACGAUAAAAGAAACUUCAUUUUAUUCAGAAGAUAAAGAUACAGAAGUAAAAAGAUAAACACCUAAUUAAAAAAAAGAAAUAAAUAUUUUAAAAACAUUUGGUUUCUAAGUAGGGGGUGGAAAUCUUGACAGAACAACUUGAAGCAGUCCUUCAAUCUUUGUGUUAGUAUGAGCCCAUUCCUUUAACAUUUCAUCUUGUUUGUCCUUGAAAUUCCUAACAACCACAUACUCUUACUCAAGUUCUUCCAGAAUCUUUAGUACAAUAGGAAUGAGUUCAACUUCCACCAUUGGCUUAGUCCCAUGUACAGUUGCAAUCUCAUUUACUGGAGGAGGAGUGACUUUUCUCUCUGCUACAACUUCAACUUCAAGAGUAAGUGUUUCUGGAAAAAUUGUUUCUUGAGGAGGAAAAGCUUUUGGAGGAGAUCUUGGAGUAAAAAUCUCCACAAGAGGCUCUAUGACUUCAAACAGCUUAUCAUGAAAUCUCUUCUGAGAAGCUGUGUAGCAAAUUUAUUUCAUCUCCCGAGAUCGUGAAUUCAUUCAUCUUUUUGAAAUUCUGGUAUCAGAUAUGAGAUGUCGAAGGUAAUGUCACGACACUAAUAUCUGAACAAUACAAACAGCAUAAAGAUAAAGAACAGUAAUGCAAGAGACACAAGCAAUUGUGAACCCAGUUCGGUGCAAACUCACCUACGUCUGGGGGCUACCAAGCCAGGAAGGAAAUCCACUAAAAAAGAAUCAGUUCAAAGACUCUCAGUAAACAACACAAGUUACAAUCUUUUUCCCCUAAUCUCUACCUGUAUGACUUCUACCUAAGAACUCUUAGAUAUGAGAUCCCACUCACUCCCCCUCAAUCACACCAGUGAUAUUAAACAAGAAUUACAAUGAAAAGAAGUCACUCUUCAAAGACACACAGUUGAUCUUACUUAACAGCUUCAAUCAAGUAGACACACACUCAUGCUUAAAAGCUUAGAGUGACAAAUUACAACUCAAAAAUCAGACCAAUUCAAUCAUCUAUGGAUGAAUUGAAUGGCUUACAAUUUACAUGACCACACAAGACUUAAACCCUUAUUCUCUCUCAAUAUUUCGUUCGUUAUUUCUUGUGUAUCAAAUCAGGUUUUCCAUGUCCUUUUUAUAGAAGCAUUCAGCUGGGCUUGGACAUCAUAAAACCCUAAUUUUCCAUUCAUAUCUUCUCAUGACAGUUGAUUAGAUCUCUUUGGAAAAUAAGUUAAUCACAUUGUAAUUACUGAUUGAUAGUGUGUUCAAUUAACUCAUCAAUCAUACACAGAUUGCCAUUAAAAAAUCAAUCACAUAAUACAUAACAUUCAGACUGAAUGUUCCGUAUACAGAUGUAAUGACAUCGGGUCUGACAUCCUAGAAAAAAUCCUGCAUAAUUACAAUUAAACAUCCAACAGGUACAAGAUAUCUUAUGUUACGACAUCACAUGUGACAACUUGUGAACACUCUAGGUUUUACCAAAAUUGUUGCCAACACAUAGAACCAACAAACUCCCCCUUUGGAAAAUUUUGGCUAAAACAUAUAUCAUUCCAUUUGUUCACAAGAGUAAAAACAUAUCAGCAGUUAAGCAGCAGCAGAAGCAAUAAACACACAAUUACUAGCUAUAAUAGCAACUAGUAAUACACACAUUAAACACAUGGGUGCUUCUUCUCCCCCUAAGUUUGUUCAACACAAACAUCUCCUUCAACAACAAUUGCACCUGUAAUAAUCAGAAUUUCCUUCUGACAUCUCCUUUAACAUCUGUAACAUUCAGAAUCACAUUCUGACAUCUUCUUUAACAUCACUUGUACAACCACCUGUACAACGCAAAACAUUCUUUUGUUCAACAUCAGCUGUCAUCUGUACAACCACCUAUACAACACAUAACAUUCUUCUGUUCUACAUCAGUUGUCACCUGUCAACACAAAAUAAUUGCAGCUCUCCACAUCUCCACACAUUAACUGCAGCUCUCCACAUAAUAACUUCUCCCCCUUUUUACUCAAAAUAGACCAAAGUGACCAAUUAGACAAAAUAAAUGUCAACUAGUCCAGCAGAGAAUGUCACAAAGGAUGUUAUAACAUAUAAAAUGUUAAAACACAAUGUCAGGUGGUACAUAACCAAAUUAUACACAGCUGCAAUAGCUGAGAUAAUCAGAAAUCCAUGGAACUCAUAAAGAGCCCAAAUAUUACAUCAUGGCAUAAAAAAGACUACAAAAAAAAACUAUAAACAUCAAACAGAAAACAUCAAAUCAUCCAAGCAUCCAGAACACACAACAUUCAAACAAGGGGACCAUCACCACAACUUAGUCUAAGGAGGUAGCAUCUUCUUCAUCUUCAGAUCCAGAACUGCCACUAGAUUGAUCUUGAGAAUUAGACCUCUCACUUGAGGUGUGGGAACCUGUCUCCUUGGCUUUACCAACCUUAUGCAUCUCUUCUUGCUCCAAGCUACUAAUGAGAACCUCUAAAUCCUCUUUUCUAGCCUUGGCCACCCUAAUCCCAGUUUCCAACUCCUUACAGGUUUCUUUUAAUUGAGCAAUCAAGCCACCUUAUGAGGCUGGCUCCUUCCUUGCAGAUGUCAUGACAAUGUCAUUCACAUGACUGCCCUCAAAUAACUUGUAAUGAAUUGUCAAUGGAGGCUUCCUUGUACUAGGGAUAUCACUUAUGUUUAAAAUACCAGGUUGCUGGCUUAAAAUUAUUCCACAAAUGAUUGAGGGAAAGGUAAUUGGUAGCUUUACUGCAUUAGUGGAGGCAUGUCUAACAAUUUGUUCAAACAUGAACCUUCCAUAAUCAAUGUUGAGCCUGGUUUCAAUAGCAUAGAUUAUCCUUCCAAGAACAUUAGAGAUAGUUGAGAUAUGGUUUGUUGGCACCCAGUUGGCUGAACCUAUCUUAUGCAAGAUAGCAUAUUUUACAGUUAAUUUGCCAGUAGAUAGAUGCUUUUUGCUUGGCCAUUCCUUGACUUGGCUAGCAGUGAUUGUCCUACAGACUUCAUUGUCUGUGGCCUCUAACUCAACAGCUCCUUCAGUUCUUCUUCCAAGGAAUUUAUUGAUUAUAGUUGGGGAGAACCUUACACACCUUCCUCUCACAAACACCUUGAAAAAUUCUUUGCUAUUCUUGUCAGAAAUAUCCUCUGGGAUGUUCACAGCAAACUCCUUCACCAGACCUUCAAAACAUUGGGGCAAUGCACUAACUGUUUUCAUCAAACCAGCAGACUUGAUCAAUUCCAUAACCUUCUUCACUUCCACAACAUCUUUCCCUAGUUCCCUCUCUAGAGCAACUCUCCUAUGUAUCACAAAUUUCCACUUGACUGCACCAUCUUCCAGAUGGAAGGAAAUAUUGUCCAAAUGCACAGCUGCAACCUUAGCUGGAGACUUUCUAACAGUUUGCUUUUUAGCAGGAGAGAUGUCUGGGACAUCGUCUUCGACAUCAUCUUCAGAGUCAGAACUUUCUCUGACCUUUCUCUUCUUGACCUCUACUAGCUUUUUAGCAGGAGAGAUGUCUGGGACAUCGUCUUCGACAUCAUCUUCAGAGUCAGAACUUUCUCUGACCUUUCUCUUCUUGACCUCUACUUUACUCCAUGAUUUAGAAGGACCUACAGCAGCAGCCUUCUUACUUGUUCUGGCUGUCAUCAAAUCAGCCACAGACUUAUCUUUCCUGGUCUUCAUUUUCUUUGCAACAUUACGUUUCAAAUGAUGAACCAAGGUGUCAUCUUCCUCGUCUGAGCUCUCUUCCUCCAAAUCAAUCACCUUUUCAUGCUUCUUAGAUUGAGAAACAUCUAUAGGUUUCUUGCUAGGCAUGGUUUUCCCUAAAGAACACAAUCCUUCUGCAGCAAUAUCCUUCUCUGACCUAGAUGAAUCAUCAUCUUUCUCAGUUUGAGGUUCCACCUCAAGUGAGGGGUCCCUUCUAGACAGAGGAGUCGAAACUCCCUUGACUGAGUGUCCUUCAUUUAGGAUCCUUGUAACCAGAUUCCUAAUGACACGAUCUGUAUAAUGCAUGUCAUCCUUAGGAGGAGGGUUAUCAGAACCAUUACCUUGAGGGUUUCCUGAAGUGGAAGAAGGGCCAGGGGCGUCGCCUGGGAUUACUGAAAGAGGAAUAACUUCCAAAACAUCUUCAUCCAGAAAAUCCAUGGAGGGAGUUCUUGCUUUAUGAGUGGGUUUUGAACCAGAAGAAGACAAGGAUGGAGUUCUUGCUUUAUGAGUGGGUUUUGAACCAGAAGAAGCAGGAUGUUAUGACAAUUUGUUGAUUUAUUUAAAUUUGGUUGCCUAAUAGAGAUGAACGAUACAGUUUGAUGAAGAGGAAGUGGUUGUGUUGAGGUAGCGUGUAAAAAUGGUAUAGAUGGUAGUUCCAAUAUUUGGUAAUGAUUUUCCAUAAAGGGCACUUUCUUUUAAGUGGGCAGACAAUAUUUAUUACUUUCCAUCCACAUUAAUUGCUAUAAAUUCUCAUGGUCACAAUCCCCAAUUUCCCUCUUAACACUUCAAACUGAUUAGCGUCCAAAGCCUUGUAAUAUGUCAGCUAAUGCAUUUCAGAUACAUGCUCCAGUGUAAAUGAUUCUCUGUCCAAGUUCUCUAACUNNNNNNNNNNNNNNNNNNNNNNNNNGGGAUGUUUAUGACAAUUUGUUGAAUUUAUGAAAAUAUUUUGGUUGCCCUAAUAGAGAUGAACGAUACAGUUUGAUGAAGAUGGAAGUGGUUGUGUUGAGGUAGCGUGUAAAAAUGGUAUAGAUGGUAGUUCCAAUAUUUGGUAAUGAUUUUCCAUAAAUGGGGCACUUUCUUUUAAGUGGGCAGACAAUAUCUUAUUACCUUUCCACUCCACAUUAAUUGCUAUAAAUUCUCAUGGAUACAAAUCCCCAAUUUCCUCUUAAACAUUCAAAUCUGAUUAGCGUCCAAAGCCUUGUAAAUAUGUCAGCUUAUUGCUUUCUAAUGAAGUGAUGACGAAUAUCAAUGUGCUUUGUCCUGCUGUGCUGAAUAGGAUUUUUGGAAAUAUUUAUAGCACUCAGGUUGUCACAGUACAAUGUCAUGACAUCUUGUGUGACAUUGUAUUCAGUUAACAUUUGAUUCAUCCAAACCAGUUGAGAACAACUACUCCCAGGUGCUAUGUAUUCAGCUUCAGCAGUGGAUAGGGACACACAAUUUUGUUUCUUGCUAAACCAUGAUAUCAAAUUGUUCCCUAAGAAGAAACAUCCUCCUGAUGUGCUUUUCCUAUCAUCAUCACUUGCAGCCCAAUCAGCCUCACAAUAACCAGUCAGCAAAGAUCCAGAUCCAUGAGUAUAUAACAUCCCAUAGUCACUGGUGCCAUUGAGAUAUUUCAGUAUUCUCUUCACUUGGUUUAUGUGACUGAAUUUUGGUUCAGCUUGAUAUCUAGCACAAACACCUACAAUAAAUGCAAUGUCAGGUCUGGUUACUGUGAGAUAUAGCAGACUUCCUAUCAUGCUUCUGUAUAGACUUUGAUCUACACUAACACCAUUUUCAUCUUUGGAGACUUUCAAAUGUGUAGGAGCAGGUGUCCUUUUAUGACUUGCAUUCUCCAUGCCAAACUUAUUAACAAUGUUCUUGGCAUAUUUGCUUUGAGAUAGAAAGAUAGAAUCUUCCAUCUGUUUGACUUGUAGCCCAAGAAAGUAGGUCAGCUCUCCAACAAGGCUCAUCUCAAACUCAGACUGCAUUUGUCUAACAAAAUGUUCGACCAUCUGAUCUGACAUCCCACCAAACACAAUAUCAUCUACAUAUAUUAGUGCCACCAUAAGUUUUCCUCCUUCAUUCUUCACAAAUAGGGUCUUGUCAAUACCUCAUUUCCUGUAUCCAUUGUUAGUGAGGAACACAAUGAGUCUCUCAUACCAAGCCCUAGGAGCUGGCUUCAAACCAUACAGGGCUUUCUUCAAUCUGUACACAUGCUUUGGAAGAUUUGGAUCUAUGAAUCCUUUAGGUUGUUCAACAUAUACUUCCUCAUUUAAGUAACCAUUCAAGAAGGCACUUUUUACAUCCAUUUGGAACAGGUUGAAUUUCAGAAUACAUGCCACUCCAAGCAAUAGUCUAAUGGACUCAAGGCGAGCUACACGAGCAAAUGUUUCAUCAAAAUCCACUCCUUCAACCUUAGUAUAUCCUUGUGCUACUAAUCUUGCUUUGUUUUUAGUAACCACCCCUUGUUCAUCAUAUUUAUUCUUAUACACCCACUUUGUACCUAUGACAUUUACUCCUUCAGGUCUAGGAGCCAGUUCCCAUACUUCAUUCCUCUUGAAUUGACCUAACUCCUCCUGCAUGGAAUUGAUCCAUAACUCAUCAGUCAAGGCUUCCUUGACAUUCCUAGGCUCAAUCUUGGACACAAAGCAGCCAUGUGAGAUCACUUCCCUUGAUCUAGUUGUGACCCCUUUAUUUGGAUCUCCUAUAAUAAGAUCUUUGGGAUGAUCCUUCUGAACUCUAAUGGAGGGUCCCUUGUUGAUUUUGUCAUCUUCAAGUUCAGCUUGAGGAGGUUCACUCUCCUUAUUUUUGUCUGAGAAAUCAGCUGGGGGAUCAUUCAGAGAUGUCUUAACAUCGUCUGUGACAUCAGUCUGUUGGCCAUCAACCACAACAUUAAUAGAUUCCAUCAUUACUUUAGUUCUGGAAUUAAAGACUCUAUAUGCUCUGCUGUUUGUUGAGUAGCCCUGAAAUAUUCCUUCAUCACUUUUGGGAUCCAUCUUCCUUCUUUGUUCACGAUCAGUCAAGAUAUAGCAUUUACUACCAAACACAUGGAAGUAUUUGACUAUAGGUCUUCUUCCUUUCAAGACUUCAUAUGAAGUUGUAGGAGUCCCUUUCUUCAAGGUCACUCUGUUGUGAACGUAGAAGGUUGUGUUCAUGGCUUCAGCCCAAAAAUGGUAGGGCAAUUUCUUAGCAUGAAUCAUAGCUCUGGAUGAUUCUUGAAGGGUUCUAUUUUUCCUAUCCACCACACCAUUUUGCUGGGGAGUAAUGGGAGAUGAGAACUCAUGAUGAAUUCCUUCUGAAGAACAUAAUUCAGCAAACUUGUUGUUCUCAAAUUCCUUCCCAUGAUCACUUCUAAUUUUGACAACAGGACUUUCCUUUUCUCUUUGAAGUUUUUGACAAAGCUCUUUGAAGACUUCAAACACAUCAGAUUUUUCUCUUAUAAAAUUGAUCCAGGUGUAUCUGGAGAAGUCAUCCACCACUACAUAAGCAUACUUCUUCCCACCAAGGCUUUCCACCUGCAUGGGCCAUCCAAAUCCAUAGGAGGAGUUCCAGAACUUUGGAAGUGGUGUCAUGUCUAAGUCUGGUGGUGACAUCCUUGUCUGUUUCCCAAUCUGACAUUCCCCCACAGACUUUUCCUUCAAUCAAGUCUUCAAGUUAGAGCAAUUCCUCUAACAGCUUUCAACAGAUAUAAUCCUCUUCAUCACCUUUAAGAUGUAGAUGGCCCAAUCUUUGAUGCCAUUACUCUUCACUUCUUCUUCUUUUGGCUAAAGUACACAUUGAAGAGUAACCAGUUUCUUGAGAACUACAGUGAAAAGUUGUCUUUAGACGCCAUCGCUUUCCGACACUUCAUUUCUUCUGUUAGUAAUGUAGAGCAUCGUUUUGGUGAAGUUUACAUUUAAACCUUUUGGUCACACAGGUUGACUGAUGCUUAUUAGAUUUGGCAGUCAAUCCCAUUAAAAGUAGGGACAUUAUAAAGGUCAGAACUCCGCAGGGAAAUCAACGCUUACCAAUCCCUAGAUUUCACCCUUUGCUCCAUCACCAAAGGGUACAUAGCUUGUGGCAUGAGGAUAAGACCAGUUAGCAGGUUUUUGUUUCCAGUCAUGUGUCUGGAGCACCCACUGUCAAAAUACCAAUCUUCUUUGGCUGAAACUCUGAAGGAAGUGUGAGCUAUUAGACUUGUAACAUUAGUCUUAGGAACCCAUUGCUUUUUGGUGACAGGCAUGUGAUGUUUGGGUCUAGGUUGAUGAUGAGCAGGACUAGGAUAGCCAUACAACUUAUAGCAGAAUGGUUUUAUGUGGCCAAAUUUUCCACAAAUGGCAUCUCCAUCUUUAAUGUUUCCCUUUCUGUUGUCUUCCUUUAUGAUGUUGUGACUGCACUUAGGUUUGGACUUUGGUUUACUACCAGAGUGGCUGCACUCAGGCUUAGAAUCAUUGAACCCAAUGCCAGACUUGUCUCCUGUUAUUUGUCCAUUCUGGAGAAUUUUGUCUAAGGUGUCAGAUCCAUUGUUUAGCAUUCUUAUAUACUUGGUCAUCUCAUCCAGUUUAGAAUUCAAGAAUACAACUUCAGUCUUCAACUUGGAGAUGGUUUCCACAUGUUUUGUCUUCUCAUUCUCCAGCUGUGAUAUCACUUUCUUCUGGCUUUCAACUUGUCUACACACUUAUGCACUUCUGUGACACAACUCUCUGUAGGUAGUGGUCAACUCUUUAAAGGUUAAUUCAUCAUCACUUGAAUCUUCAUCAGAACCCCAUCUUCCAGUCAAGGUAGUCACAAGAUUUGCAGACUCUUCUGUUUCACUUUCAUCAGACCAAGUGGCAGCAAGACUCCUCUUCUGUUUCUUAAGGUAGGCCCCACAUUCAGUUCUAAUGUGUCCAUACCCAUCACAUUCAUGGCACUGAACUCCUUUUCCUUCUUUGGGCUUUUCAUCUAACCUUGUUCUUCUUCCAAUAUUGUUGGAUUUACUGAUGUCAGAUGCGAUGUUCUUGACAUUAACCUUAGAUCUUACAUCCAUAUUUUUCAUAAGUCUAUUGAACUGUCUUCCCAGCAUUGCUACAUCAUUUGUCAGAUCUUCAUCAAUAUCUUGACCACCUUCCUCCUCUUCCCCUUCAGUGUUUGACAUGAAGGCUAUGCUUUUUGCUUUCUUUUCAGAUCCAUCACACAUUCCCAUCUCAAAUGUUUGGAGGAUCCAAUUAGCUCAUCAACUCUCAUAUUUGAGAUGUCUUGAGACUCUUCUAUGGCUGUCACCUUCAUAGCAAAUCUCUUAGGGAGUGACCUGAGUAUUUUCCUUACUAAUUUUUAAUCUGACAUCUUCCUCUCCAGGGCUCCUGAGGCAUUAAGAUUUCAAGGAUAUUCAUAUGAUAAAAUUCAUGAAUAAUUUUUCAUCUUCUUUCAUCCUAAAUUCAAACCUUGUAGUGAGCAGUUGCAAUCUAGACAUCUUCACUCUAGAGGUGCCUUCAUGAGUGGUCUUGAGAAUGUCCCAAGCAUCUUUAGCCACCUCACAGUUGUUUACCAAUCUGAAGAUAUUCUUGUCUACUUCAUUGAAUAUAACAUUCAAUGCUUUAGAAUUUCCAAGGGCUAGAUCAUCCCCCUCCUUGGACCAUUGUUCUUCAGGCUUCUUAUCAGUUGUAGCUUCUCCUUCCUUUGUAACUACUAGAUGUUACCAGCCUGUUAACACAGCCUUUCAAGCCUUAUUAUCCUGAGAUUUUAGGAAGGCUACCAUUCGAGGUUUCCAGUAGUCAUAGUUGGAUCCAUCCAAAAUAGGUGGCCUAUGAACAAAUCCUCCAUCUCUCUCCAUAGUACCAUAAAGUAUCGUCCCUAGAUCUCACCCAGAACCAGAGCAAGAUGCCUGCUCUGAUACCAAUUGAAAUUCUGGUAUCAGAUAUGAGAUGUCGAAGGUAAUGUCACGACACUAAUAUCUGAACAAUAAAAACAUGAUAAAGAUAAAGAACAAUAAUGCAAGAGACACAAGCAAUUGUUAACCCAUUUCGGUGCAAACUCACCUACGUCUGGGGGCUACCAAGCUAGGAAGGAAAUCCACUAAAAUAGAAUCAGUUCAAAGACUCUCAGUAAACAACACAAGUUACAGUCUUUUUCACCUAUACCCGUGUGACUUCUACCUAAGAACUCUUAGAUAUGAGAUCCCACUCACUCCCCCUCAAUCACACCAGUGAUAUUAAACAAGAAUUACAAUGAAAAGAAGUCACUCUUCAGAGACACACAGUUGAUCUUACUUAACAGCUUCAAUCAAGUAGACACACACUCAUGCUUAAAAGCUUAGAGUGACAAAUUACAACUCAAAAAUCAAACCAAUUCAAUCAUCUAUGGAUGAAUUGAAUGGCUUACAAUUCACACAACCACACAAGACUUAAACCCUUAUUCUCUCUCAAUAUUUCGUUCGUUAUUUCUUGUGUAUCAACUCAGGUUUUCCAUGUCCUUUUUAUAGAAGCAUUCAGCUGGGCUUGGACAUCAUAAAACCCUAAAACUAUUUUCCAUUCAUAUCUUCUCAUGACAGUUAGUUAUAUCUCUUUGGAAAAUAAGUUAAUUACGUUGUAAUUACUGAUUGAUAGCGUGUUCAAUUAACUCAUCAAUCAUACACAGAUUGCCAUUAAAAAUGCAAUCACAUAGUACAUAACAUUCAGACUGAAUGUUAUGUAUACAGAUGUCAUGACAUCGGGUCUGAUAUCCUGGAAAAAAUCCUGCAUAAUUACAAUUAAACAUCCAACAGGUACAAGAUAUCUUAUGUUACGACAUCUAAUGUGACAACUUGUGAACACUCUAGGUUUUACCAAAAUUGUUGCAACACUUAGAACCAACACUUUUGAACAUAGCCUAAGCACCAUGAAUUCAUCCAUCUUGCCUCACAGAGUGGAGACACUCAUUUGCUUCUGACUCAAACUGCCUAACUAGAUCAUCAAUCUCCUCAAGGUCAGUGAUAGGUUAAGGUACAGGUUCAGGUUCUAUCUCAGUAUCAGAUGAGAUGUAAAUGGUUUGGUCAUAGGAAUUUGGAGUUGAAGGUUCAUUGUUUUUUUUUAUGUUUUCCAUGAAGGUGUCAAAAACAGGUUCAUUUAUGAUUUUAGGUUGAGGGGGUGGAGUUGGUGGUAUUGGUGUGUCUUCUGGAAAGUCUCAAUCUUCAAGAAUAGUGAUUAUGAAAGAAGCGUGACAGGAAUGAAUUGUUCCAAAAGGGGGUUUUCUAGUUGAUUUGGUUGAGACUCUGUGGGGACGAUUUCAGUAGUUGGUGGUUGUGUUGGUUUAGAUGGUUGUUCAGUGGUUGUAAUUGGGGGUUAUUCAUAUGUUGUAUUUUUAAUUUAAUUUAUAAUUUUAAAGAGAAGUGUUGGUGGUAUUUGUGGUGGUUCACUUACAAUAGUUUUAGAUGGUUUAGGUACAAAAGUAUUGAUUGUUUUAGAUAUAAUGGGUUGUUUUAGUUUAGGGUUGGAUAUGGUUCCAAAAGGAAUUGAAAUAAAUGAUGUUGGAGUGGGUGUACAGAAGUAUUGAUUGUUUUAGAUAUAAUGGGUUGUUUUAGUUUGGGGUUGGAUAUGGUUCCAAAAGGAAUUGAAAUAAAUGGUGUUGGAGUGGGUUGGAGAGUAGUAAAUAAAGUAGAAUUGAAAUAUUGAACAAAAUUAAAAGAGGUCUCAGCUAAGGGAGACUUACCAUAAGGUCUGUUCUGAGAUGUAGGCACUUUAGUUGACUUAGGACUCUCAGAACCAAUAGCUUCUUCUUCUGGUCCCAUAGUACUAUUGAAGAUGUCAUAAAUUAUGGCCAUCUUGGUUGGGGGCUUAGCUGUUUUAGAAAGACUAUCACCUGAUGACUUGAAAUUCCUCUUCCUCUUGAGAGAGUAGAUAUCAGAAGCAAUUUAUGGCUGUUCAUCGUAGGAGUAUGCAACUGGAGUUACACCUGUUGCCAGACCAUCAACAAUGUAUGACUCUAGAAAUUCUUGGGGAUCUUUCUUGGUGAAGAGAGGAUAAUCCUCAAUAGGAAUCCUUCUGGAGGAACAAUCUUCAUAUCUAGAGUUUCUGAAGGGUCAAUGAUAGCAGUUAUCAAUGACAUGUUCUUUAGAUUCCUCCAUUGAAGCUUUUUCUAAUGUUAAACUUAACUUCUUUGGUUAAACCAACUUAUAUCAAGGUUUGACACAAAUUUAUUUCAAAAAGAAUAUCUGAAAUAAGUCUUCCUAGAGGUAUCCACUUUCUGGGUUUUGAAGUUCCAUCUCAAGUUUCCUUGACCAGCUCCCCUAGAUACUUGAAUAGUAUUUUAGGUAAAUUCAUCUUGGUUUUAGAGGAGAGUGUAGCGGUAAAUUCAUGACCAUCAGGCCAUAAAUAAGCUUAAUGUCAAUAAAACCAGAGUCGGCACCGCGUUUUUAUUGUUUCCAAAGGAAAAGGGAAAAGAACGAAAAAAAACCCAAAAAUAAGAAGUUUUCAAAUCAAAACUAAUAAAAUGCCAGCGAUUAUAGGUAAGGGGGUUGGUUACACAGAGGGAAGGUGUUAGCACCCAAAGUGUCCUAGGGAGCCCUUUUUUAUGUGCGCAUGUGUUUUUGGUAUAAAUCAUGUUUGAUAAAAUAGAGUGUGGGGUUGAGAAAAGAAUUAAUUUAUUAUAUUUUUGUGUUUGACAAGACCUUCGAUCUCGUGCCUACGUACCAACAUAAAAAUGAGGGGUCAAAACCUCAUAGUUCAUGAUAAAAAUUUCAAAUGAGUUGGUGAAUUGAUUUUAUCAAAAGUCUAAUAAGAAAAGGACACAAAAGGCCAAAAUUUUGAGUGAAGUUGUUAGUUCUUUUUGUCUUUUGAAAUUUAAGUGAAUAUGAUCAAAAUACACAAACAAUAUGUACAAUCACAAGAUAUGGCUCAAAUGAGCAAACUGAAAAUAGCUUGAAACAUAAACAAGUUAUAUGAAAUGUAAAUGGCAAUGAAUGAUAAAUGACUGAAAUUUAAAUUGCAUAAAAUAAAUGACUUAAAAGUGAAAGCAUAAUGAAUAAGAGUUAGUCAAUGGUUAGUCAAAUGUUAGUGUUGAGUUUGAAUUGAUUCAGUCAUUCUUUGGAGAACACUCAACCAUCCAUUCACAAGUAUGGAUCCCUAAACCAAGACAUCUUCCAUGAGAAGGGAUCCAACUUGUAUAAUUCAACAAGUAUGCCCCUAGCUCUCAUGAAAGUAAAAAAGGUCAAGUUUCCACACAAUUCCAUGAAGAAAUGGGAGGCUUACAAUCUCACUUACUAGAAUGUUAUGCUUUGAGGGUCAAAUUUAGCUCUAUGUUAAGCAAUCGCAAUUGGACUUAUGUAGAAGUCAUAACUAUCUGAGGCAGGACAAUAAUAAUAUAAGUGUUAAUGCAUGUUAGAGAUUUGGUAUAAAGAACCAAACUCCUAAAACAUGCCACACACUAAAAGAAAAUAGGAAGGACCUAUCUCAAUCAUACUUGUAUUGAUUCAUCUGACACAAGGUCAUUGAUGAAUCAAUUAGCCUUUAGACAUUAGAGAUUUCAUUGGUCAAAUGGUGGAAUGGGAAAGAAUAGGGAUGAAGAUGAAGAGGGAGGGGAAGAUAGAAACACAAAUUGAUCAUGAGAGGAAUUUCAUCAAAUCAAAACUAUCCAUUCAUUUUGGGAGAUGAAAUGUACAUUUCAUCAAUCCCUUAAAUCCAAUGGUUUUGAUCCAACAAAAGUCAAAUCAAUCAUGACCAAGGCCCAAACAGAAAGUCAAACAUCACAAGACCGUAAAAAUGGCUCAACAAUAUUUUUAAACAUUUAAUCAAUUAAAAAUCACAUUAAAAAUGAAUCAAAAUACAUUUUAAUUUGGUCAAAACCUAAAAUCCCUUCAAAACACCAAAUAAAUGGCCAAAGGAUUUAUCCUAGGUCAAACAAGGUCAAAGGACCUUAGACAAAAAAAAUUAUGAUUUUUAAAAAGUCAGAAGUAUUUUUAAACAAUUAAAAAUAUGCAGAAAAACAUUUAAUUAAUAAAAAAUACCAAAAUUAAUCCAAAAAAAUAUUUUAAUUCAGAAUAUGGAAGAAAAAAAUAUUUAAAGAUUUUUGGUGAAAGUCUCAUAUUUUUUGGAUCAAAAAUGGAUUUAUUAUGAAUUAAACAAAAUAACACAAUUAAAUAAAAAAUCAGAAAAUAUAGAAAAUCAGGGGCGAUCAGAUCUCCCUCAUUAAUUGAGGUGGCAGAUCUGAUGGCCAUGUGUGUGUAGUCCACCAAAUACCAAAUCAAAUGCCCUGCAGGAGUGGGAAUCAGAACCAAGGGACGAGAUUAAAACAUUUUGAAUGGAUCAAACGGUUGGGAACAUGCCAACACACCACCGCUUGGGCUCCGAUCAUCUUCUCCGGUGAACCUCACCGGGCUGGAUGACCACCAACCAUCACCAAAAUGAAAAACAAGGACAUGAUUUUAAAGAAAAAAUGCUCAGGAGCUCGAAUCUGGCCUCAAUUUUCUCCCAUUCCAAGUAUAUUGAAAGAUACAGGGACUUGAAUUUUGAGGUUCAUGAACUGAGUUGCUUCGAUUUGACCUCAAAGCAACUCAAUCUUGUUGCCUACAUUGGUAGGACUUCAGCAAACCAAAAAUAAAUCAAAAUGGAUGAGAAAUGAGGGAGAAUCUAAGAAGAGAAGUUUCUGAAAUUUCACCUUCGUGGAGCUUCAAAUUAGUUUGAUCUUGCUUCCAAUUUGGCUUAGCUUGACUCUAGAAGCUUGCAGGAGAUGAUAUUGAUGAUUAAAAAGCUUGGACUCUUGGAGUUUCAAUUCCAAAAUAUAAUGAGAAUUGAAACUCAAUUUCUCAAGAAAUCUUCAAGAUUAUCCUUUCAAUGAGGUUUGGGGAAGAAGGGGGUCGAAGCUUGGGCAAGAGGAUCCUCAUUCAGAUCACCAAUGUCAUGUAUUUUUAGCCAUGCUCAAGGCUUUUCACACACUUCCAAACUUUGGCCAAAAAUAGAAAUUGAAGUGCAUGAUUGCAUGGGCAUGUGAUAGUCCCAUGAGAUGAUGUAAUCAGGUCCAAAAAUUCUCAUGAAUGAAGCUGAGAGUUUAACAUGAGGCCAUGCAUUUGUAAUUGAGAAAUUAUCAUGUGAUUCAUCCAAAUGGAACCAUGAAGAGUAACCAUGCGCAAGUCAUUCAAAUCUUGUCCAAAUAAGGUGAUAUUGGACGUUUUGGAAAGGUGACAUCAAGGGGAACAACUUUAAUUUUGAACACUUUUCCAUUUGAAUCUUGUAUCAUGAUGAAUUUUGAGGUAGAAGUUUGAGAAAUCAAACAUAAUUGAAAUUUUUCUAAGUACCAAGUCAAAUAUCCACUUCUUCCACCUUGAAUAACUUUUGCUAUGAGCUUCAAAUGGAAACAGUUUAUCCAUCAAAGUUGUAUAUCCUUCAAACCUAUUCAAUAUGGUCACAAAUUUGACCUCAUUUACAUUUGUAAUGAAGGAGUUAUGCAUUUUAGAAGUUAAGGAAAAUUGCUUAUUCAAUGGUAAUGGCCCAAAAUGACCUAUAAUGUUUCCUCUUGGCACAUGUCCUUUCAAGUAGAAUUUUACAUUUCUCAAAGAAUACAAGUUGGAGAGGACAUAUUGAAAUUGAUCAUGAAACUUGUAUGGCCUUCAUCUCAUAAACAUUGAGCAAGUUAUGGUCCUUGGAAGUUGACCUCUUAACUAGGGUUCAGAUAAAAUGACCUAUAAUCGUUCACCAUAAAAAAUGACUUUCCAAACAAAAUAGCUCUUAAUGUCAACACGAAAGUUGUUUGGAAUGUAAUAAAGAGUAACCAUUCUCUUGGAAUCAUUUUCAUAUGACAAAAAGUGUAGGAUAUAGGGUCCAGGGAACCCCAGUUUCACCUAGUUGACUUUCUCUGGUCAACUUCUUUGAACCAACUUGCAAACUUGAAGUUUUAUUGAUCUUUGGGACUCAUGGAGGAUCAUAUAUGUAUAAGAUGACGUAAUAUGGAGUAUCCCUUGAUAUAUUUGAUCAAAUGUUUAAGAAACUUGCUAAGGAAGUCACAUAAGAUACCUAGAUGAACUAGGGUUUCCAAGACAAACUAGCUCCAAACUCUUGAUGAAUUCUUGAUAAAAUUGAUAAAUGAAGAUAAUGGGGAUCCAUAUAUGAUGUCUAGAACCAUUGUGAACCAUCUCUUGAUUGAUCUCUUGCACUGAGGGUCUCAAACCCUAGUUGUGAGCUUGAUGAGGCAUUGGUGGAAGCAUACACUACCUACAAAAGAAACAAGGCUAUACAUAGACAUAUUUUUGGAAUUUUGGUUAGUAAACAAAGAAAAUUAAGUACGAUACAAUAGAAUGUGCUUGGUGAUCUCUCCCAAUGCAAACCCAAUGAAUGGGGGGUAAGGAGGAUGCCAAGUUGUGAUCCCAAAGCUAAUGCAAAUGAUGAGAUAACAUGAGGAAUCUUAGGGUUAAAAUUGGGGUAUUACACUUUCUAGUCAUCACCAAAGAAGAGAGUUAAAAUCAUAAUUUUAAGUAACCGAAAAUAGACCAAAGUACCUAAUUCAUCCCCCUUCUUGGAUGAAAUCACUACUUACAGAAUCAACCCAAAGCGAAUCGUUACUAUUCUUAUGAUACAGAGUAAAACAUUCCCACAAUCUAAACUUAACUAAAUAGACCAACUUUUCAAUGUCUACAAAAGCCCCAUAUAAAAGAAUCAUAUUUCUAUUGGACUAAAUAAACGAACACAUUUAUGACAACAUAAAACAACAUAACUUCCCUAAAUCCAAAGAGCUCAAACCAGCUAAGAAGUAGUUGAAAUGAUCUAAUGGAUUAGUCAUAACAGGUCCCUCUGCACCCUUCGACCAAAAAUCAAUAUGAAGCAAAACUUUCCAAAUAACCUCGCAAUUAAAAAAUAAAUGAAAAAUGUAUUUUUCCUCUUUGAAACAUAAUGGGAACACUAACUCAUUGACUCCAUUAAUUACCUUCCCCCAUUCCAAUCCACUUUUUUUUUCAAUUUAUUGAUAAAAAAUAUCCAACGAAAAAUUGGAUUUUACUAGCUAAAUUCGAUUUCCAUAAAUCAUUCAACAUUUGUAACACUUCUUCCUCCAUUAUGAGAUCUGAUUGUUCAAAACUAACCAACACAACAUAACUAUUUUUAACAGAAAACAUCGUACCAAACUUCGACCAUGCAUGAGCAUCAUUGACAUUCUCAACCGGCCCGACUUCCUGCAUAAUUGCAGACAACAUACUGAGCUCAGCUAGCGCCUCCUCGCUAAGCAAGUUAUUAGAAAAGACCUGCACAUUCCAUCGCCAAAUAUUCUUGAUCCAAGAUCCUACGGCUUUAAUAAAAAGGUUCGAAUUUAUAGCAAAAUAGAACAACUUCUUGAAUUGUUGCAACAACACAAAGUUGCCAAUAAGAUGUGCUUCCAAAACCAAAUGAUGUUAUUGUUUCCCAACUUGCAAGAGAUUUAAUUUUAGAACUAGUUAUACUUUUCAUCACAAGACGAUGAUAAAUCGACCAAAUAUUUCCACCAAAAUGAGAAAUCGUUAUCUGGCACAAAACCUAGACAAUUCAUCAUUUGGGUUUGCAUAUUACCAUAUCUAAAAGAAAGAAUAUUGAGCUAAAAGGAAUGAGGUUCAGAUGAUACUCGUAAUUUUCAUUACUAAGCAAUGCCAAGUUGAACUUCUUGCAUAUUUUUACCCCUAGCCCUCCAAGUUUCUUGAACUUGCAAAUUAUGGACCAGCCACCCAAUUGAUUUUUGUAGUUCCUAUUGGAUUGGCCUUUUAGAUUGGCUAUACUUAGAAAAAUAAAAACUUUGAGAAGUCUCCAAGUAUUCAAGAUUGGUCUAGCUUGCUAAAUUUGUGUGAAGAUCAAAUCAUGGGCGUGAUGCUCCAGCGUGUGGGUCGACAACUAGACCUUGUGCAACAGGCGCAAUAUUCUUGCAGUUUAAUAGAAUCUUCUAAGAAGUUUCAGUAGUUUUUCAUUGUCAUUUGUUUUCGCAAUAUGAUUAUAUGAUUUAUGGAUAACUGGAAGAUAAAAUUAUAUUUAGAAGAGAUUUAAAUUUGAAUUUGAAACAAACCAAAUCACACCUUUUUGUUGGAUAUAUUCAAGCAACAAAUCAAUUAUCCAAUAGACUAUACGAUUUAUGGACAACUUGACAUAUAAGGUUUGUCUAGUUGAGUUGUAAUAUUCAACAUUCUUUCAUCUUGUUAUGAUUGAAGUUGGCCACUAGGGUUUAGUGGUUGUUUCCCAUGUCAUUGGUUUUGUGAGUGAGAAAAAAGUGAGUAGGUACUCAUGUUUAAGGGAAGGCUCUAAAUAGAAAGUUAUCAGGUAGUGUUAGGAAUAGGCAUUGAACAAUAUAGGAUUUGUUGUUGCUUGUAAGACCAAUUGUACUAAACUACUAAUAAGUGAUUUUCCUUUCUUGGGUUGUGGACUCAACCUCCAAGAUGUAGGUUUAGUUUCAUUGAACUGGGUAUACAAUUGAUUAUGUUGUUUAUUGAUUUUCGGCUUCAUCAUCUAGAAAUUGUUAUCAUAGUGGUUUUGGUGUAUCUUGUCAAACCUGUUGUCGCAACAUCGUGCUUUAUCUCCAAGGUUAAGCCUAAGAAUGUCAAGGAAGCAUUGACAAAUGAACUAUGGAUCAAUUCCAUGCAAUAAUUGUGUUAGUUUUAAAGAAACAAUGUAUGAGAGCUAGUUCUUAGAUCUAAGACGUGAAUGUCAUUGGUACCAAGUGGAUUUUUAAUAACAAAUAUGAUGAAAAUGCUAAUGUGACAAGGAAUAAGGCAAGGUUAGUGUAAGAUCUCAAUUUUGACCCUAAGAUCCCUCAUGCAAAUUCAUCAUAAGCACUAGCAUUGGGAUCAUACCUUUACAUCCUCCUUACCCCUCUCUCAUUGGGUUUGUUUUGGGAGAGAUCACCAAGCACCAUGUGUUUGUAUCAUACUUGUAUAUUAUCACUUUACUAACCAAAAUACCAAAAAUAUGUCUAACUCUUUUGUAGGUAGGGCAUGAUCACAUUGAUUUAUCAAGUUCAUACCUAGGGUUUGAGGCCCUCAUGACAAAGAGCAUAAUCAAAGAUUGAUACACAAUGUCUCUAAGCAUCAUAUAUGAGUUCCAUUGAUUCCUACAUGUUAUAUUGAUCAAGUCUUCUUCAAGAGUUUGAAGGUGAUUUGCCUUGGAAACCCAAGUUUGAUUGGGUAUCCUGAGUAACUUCUCCAACAAGCCAUCUCACCAAUUGAUCAAAUUUCUCAAGGGCCACUUCAAAAUUCAUCAUCUUAUGCAUAUAUGAUCUACCAUGAGCCAGGAAAGCCAAGAGAAUGGAAGGUUAACAAGUUGGUUGAUGGUGGUUGGCCAGAUGAAUUCAUCUUAUCAAAGCUGGGUCUCCCUAGGCCCUAUAUCCUACAAUUUUCACCAUAUGAAAAUGAUUCCAAGAGAAACUUUACUCUAAGUGACAUCCCAAACAACUUUUAUGUUGAGACCUAGAGCUAGUUUUUCUUGGAAAAUCAUUUUCUAUGUUGAAACAUUAUAGGUCAUUUUGUCUAAACCCUAAUUUGAAAGUCAACUUCCCAAGGCUAUAACUUGCUCAAUUUUUAUGAGAUGAAAUAGUUUUUCUUGGAAAAUCAUUUUCUAUGUUGAAACAUUAUAGGUCAUUUUGUCUAAACCCUAAUUUGAAAGUCAACUUCCCAAGGCUAUAACUUGCUCAAUUUUUAUGAGAUGAAAUAUUUACAAGUUUCACAAUCAAAUUCAAGAUGUCUACUUCAAAUUUGAUGUUUGGAGUGAGAGCUAAAUCAACUUUUAUGAGCAUGUGAUAUGAGGAUACAUUAUAGGUCAUUUUUGACCUAUACCAUUGAACAAGUGAUUUUUCCAAGCUUCAAAAAUGCAUAACUCUAUCACUAUAAAUCCAAAUUACAUGAAAUUGGUGACCAUUUUGAAUGUCUUUUAAAUAGCUACAACUUUUAUGAAUAAACGUUUCUCAUUUGAAGUUCACAUAAAAAGUUAAGUAGGGUGGAAUAUUGAGAUAUAUGGCUUGAAACUUAGAAAAAUUUUCAACAUGUUGAAAUUUCCAAACUUUCACCUUCAAAUUCACCAUGAUCCAAGCUCCAAAUGAAAAAGUGUUCAACAUUAAACUUGUUCCCUUUGAUCCAAGCUUUCCAAAGAACCUAAGUUCAUGCAUUUUGGAUGAAGUUUGUUAGGGCCGCGCAUGGCUUUAACAGAGUUGCACCAUUGGAGGAAAUCAAAUGUCCAAAACUCCAUUUCACCUUUCCUUGCCAAUCAAGCAUCAUUUGAACUUCAGUACAGUUGCAAUUGGAUCAAAAUGGAUUGCUACAUGGGCCUGUACACGCCCAUGCAAGCUUGUGUAUCACAUUGCCAAAUUUAGCAAAUUUUCAAGUGUGCAAUUAUCAAUCCCAAAUGCUAUAAAUACAUGGCCUCUGAGCUCAUUUCAAACACACCUUGCAUGCCAACUUUACCCCCCAAUUCAAACCCUCUCAUUCUAAAGGAAAACCUGAUAAUUUUCAAUCUGAAAAUUGAGUUUGAAUCUCAACUGUUUGGAGAUUCAAGAAAACUCCAGGAUCCAAAGCCUUGCACCAUUGCUAACCACUCCCUGCAAGCUUCUCAAGUGUGAUCAAAUCGUGUUUGAAGCAAGCAACCUCAAGUUCUGCACAACAUUGAAGGUAAUUUUUAGAAAACUUCAUUUCUUCGAUUCUCACUCAAUUCUCAUCAAUUCUGUUGGAUCUUUGGUUGUCUGAAGUCCUACCAAUGUAGGCAAGAAGAUUGAGUUGCUUAGAGGUCAAAUCGAAGCAACUCAGAUGACACACCUUAAAAUUCAACUCCUCAUAUCUUUCUAUAUAUGUGGAGUUAGCUAAAAUUAAGGUCAGAUUCGUGCUCUACGCCAUUUUUUCUUUCAGAUCAUGUCCUCUUUUUUUAUUUUGGUGAUGGAUAAGGGUGGACCAAUCCGGUGAGGUCCACCGGAGAAGAAGACCGGAGCUCUGGCUCCGGCGGUGCGCUGGCACGUUUCCCAGCCACCGAUUCCUUUCAAAAUGUUUUAAUCCUGAGCGCCCAUUGUGAUUACCCUUGGUAAAACGUGCUGACUCGUGUGUUUGGUGGAACGCGCCUUUCAGACCACUUGAUCUGCCACCUCAAUUAAUGAGGGAGAUCAAGUGGUCCACGUUUUUUUGAUUUUUUGAUUUUAAUUUUUAUUCCUUUGAUUUUCAUUAAUUCAUAUUAAUUUUAAUAUUGAUCCAAAACAUAUGAGACUUUCACCAAAAUUUUCAAAUAAUUUCCUCUUUCAUAUUUUGAAUUAAAAUUAUUUUUUGGAUCAUUAUUAAUAUUUUUCAUGAUUUAAUUGAUUUUGUGAAUAUUUUUAAUUGUUUAAAAAUACUUUUAAGUCUUUAAAAAUUCUGAAAUUUUUUCUCCGAGGUCCUUUGACCUUGUUUUACCUAUGAUAAAUCUCAUGGCAAUUUCUUUGGUGUUUUAAUGAGGUUUGAGGAAUUUGACAAACCAUAUUUAAUUUAAAUGCCUUAUUUUAGUAUUUUUCAAUUUGAAUAAAUGCCAAAUAAUUGUGUUGACCUAUUGUGAUGAUUUGUGUAAGUGUGACUCAUGUUGUUAGGCCUUGGUCAAGGUCGAUUUGACUUUGUUAAGUUAAUAUCAUUGGAUUUAAGGGAUUGAUGGAAUGUACAUUCCAUCUCCCAAAAUGAAUGAAUGAUAUUAAUUUGGUAAAAGUCCUCCUUUGACCAAUUUGAGUUUUGAUCCAUUCCCUUCCCACUUCAUCUCAUUCCCCUUCUUUAUGCAUUAUUCUCAUUUGGCCUAUGAUAUCUCUAAGUCCUAAGGCUAGUUGAUUGCAAAAUCAACAUAAGUAUGGAUGAGAUUAGGCCACCUCUUUUUCAUUUUCUUUUUUGUGUGUGGUAUGUUUCAUGAGCAUAGUCCAUUAUACUAUGUCUCUAACAUGCAUUAACACCAAAAUUCUAUUGCCCGACCUCAAAUAGUUGUGACUUCUACAUAAGUCCAAUUACGAUAAGUCCAUUAUACUAUGUCUCUAACAUGCAUUAACACCAAAAUUCUAUUGCCCGACCUCAAAUAGUUGUGACUUCUACAUAAGUCCAAUUACGAUUGCUUAACAUAGCGCUAAAUUUUUGACACAAAAGACAUAUCAUUCUAGUUAGUGAGAUUGUAAGUCUCCCCUCUUUCAUGGUAUUGUGUGGAAACUUGGAUUUUUUUUCCUUCCUUUGGAAGAUGUCUUGGCUCAAGGAUCCAUGCUUGUGAUAAGUGGGUUGGGUGUUCUCCAAAGAAUGACUUAAAAUGAAAAGUAAAAGCUAAACAAUACUAACUUCUAACUCACUAACAACUAACAUUUAAUUUCAAGUCAUUUAUUUUAAUGCACCUUAAUUUUUAAGUUCUAUUCAUUUGCCAUUAUUCAUACCAUUCUAAUUGUUUAUGUUAAUGUCAUUUUCCCUUUGUCCAUUUGGACCAUAUUGUGUGAAUAUCUUGCUUAUGUAUAUUUUGUUUGUUUGUGUGGUCUUGGACCAUUAAUGUACAUAAUAAGAACAAAAACCCUAAAAAACUUUUGUGUGGAUUGUUGACUUGAUCUUGGACAAAUUGGACUUGGAAUUUAGGCAACCUCCCUAUUCUAAAGGACUUGGCCAAUGCCAACUUUUGUGAAACCAAGUGAUUGCAAUUUGAAACUUCACCUGAUACAUCAUUCAAGAUCCCUUUGAGUUCAUCUGCAACAUGAUCAUUGUGAAGCUGUUAUUUUGAACCUAUGACUUAUGGAAUUGAUCUGUUACAUGGGUUAAUUUGAAGAAGAUCAUGGAGUGGCUAAAUCUUAGAUGUGGCUAUCUUUAUUUGAUGCCUUUCUCUUCAAGUUAAUAUUGUACGCAUUGUUUGUUGCUUGAUUCUAAUAUCCAAGGGAAUUUGGGGUUUCUAUAUGGCAUUCUUGCCUAUUGGAUUGUUACCCAUCAGUCAGAUCUUUUCAACUCUUAACUUUUAAUUUUGUGCAUAGGAUUAGUCUCUUCAUCUCCUCCCUAUUUCUUUAAUUUCAAAAUCUCUUCCUCCUUUCAAAAAAAACCUCUUUGUUUGAACUUGUUAUUUUCUAAAUUUUGACCACUUUACAAACUAGAAACUUUGGCCUUAUGCCAUUGCGUUUUUAAACCUCUUUUCUUAAUCAAACUUGUAAAUAAACUUAACUAUACUUGACCUAAACUUUCAAAAACCAAAAAAGAACUAACUCAUCCAAACCAUUUUCAGGCCUUUGUGUCUUUCAAACUUAAUUUUGUUAAAAACAAUGCAUCCACUUUGAAAUUUGUAUCACGAACUACGAGGUUUUGAUCCCUCAUUUUUAUGUUGGUACGUAGGCACAAGUCCGAAGGUCUUGUCAAACAAAAAAAUAUAAUUAAUGAAUUAUUUUCUCAUCCCCUCACUCUAUUUAUUUAUAAACAUCAUUUUUGUACAAAAUACAUAUGCACACAAAAAAAGGCUCCCUAGGAGUACCUAGGACACUUUGGGUGCUAACACCUUCCCUCUGUGUAACCAACCCCCUUACCUGUAAUCUCUGACAUUUUAUUAGUUUUGAUUAAUACAUAUGCACACAAAAAAAGGCUCCCUAGGAGUACCUAGGACACUUUGGGUGCUAACACCUUCCCUCUGUGUAACCAACCCCCUUACCUGUAAUCUCUGACAUUUUAUUAGUUUUGAUUUGAAAAGUUCUUACUUUUGGGUUUUGUUCGUACUUUUUCCCCUUUCCCUUGGAAACAAUAAAAGCGCGGUGGCGACUCUUGUUAUUUGAUGUCUUGCUUAUCCAUAGCUUGAUGAUCACGAAUUUACCGCUACAGUUAGUUGCUUAAAGUUAUACUCAAAUAGAAGGAGUAGACUUUGAUGAAACAUUUUCCCCAUUACCAGACUGGAAUCCAUAAGGAUAUUACUAGAAAUCUCGUGCAUGCUGAAAUUCAGGCUAUUUCAUAUGCAUGUUAAAAAUGCUUUCUUAAACAAGUAUCUUAAUAAAGAGGUUUAUGUGGAACAACUUAAGGGGUUCACUGAUCCCAUUUUUCUAGAUCAUGAGUUCAAAUUGAAGAAAGUCAUAUAUGGAUUGAAACAAGCUCCAAGAGCAUGGUAUGAGAGAUUAGUUGAGUUCCUGAACAACCAUGAAUACAAUAGGGGAGGAAUAGACAAAACUAUAUUUCUGAAGAAUAAUGAUUGGAAGUUGAUGAUAGCUCAAAUAUACGGGGAUGACAUAGUGUUUUGUGGGAUAUCAAACACAAUGAUGCAACAUUUUGUUCAACAAAUGCAUUCAGAAUUUCAAAUUAAUCUUGUAGGAGAACUCACAUAUUUCCUUUGUCUACAAAAUUAAGCAAAUGAUAGAUGAUAUUUUUGUGACUCAAAGUAAGUAUGCUAAGAAUAUAGUGAAGAAGUUUUGUCUUGACAAUGCUAGCCAUAAGAUAAGUCUUGUUGCAAUACACUUGAAGCUCUCUAAGGAUGAAAGUGGAGUAGAUAUAGAUCAAAGUCUCUGCAGAAGUAUGAUAGGAAGUUUGUUAUAUCUCAUAGAUAGCAAACCUCAUAUUACAAUUGUUGUAGGUGUAUGUGUUAGGUAACAAGCUAAUCCCAAGGCUAGCCAUCUCAUUCAAAUAAAGAGGGUCCUAAAGUACAUCAGUAGGACUUAUGAAUAUGGAAUAUUGUACUUUUAUGAUACAAAUCCAAUCCUGGUAGGUUAUUAUGAUGCAAAUUGGGAUGGAAGUUCUGAUGACAGAAAAAGUACUUCAUGUGAAUGUUUUUUCCUUGGAAAUAAUCUAAUUUGUUUAUUCAGCAAGAAGCCGAAUUAUUUAUCUCUAUCCACUACUGAAGCUGAGUAAAUUGCUGCUAGGAGCAACUGCAAUCAAUUGCUUUGAAUAAAUGAUAAAAAAAUACAUUUUCGAACAAGAUGUCAUGGCAUUGUGCUGUGACAAUAUGUGCGCCAUAAAUAUAUCAAAGAAUCACGUCCAACACAGUAGAACCAAGUAUAUUGACAUAUGCCAUUAUUUCAUUAGGGAUAUUAUGGAUGAUAAAUUUGUCAAUUUAGAGAAAUUUACAACUGACCAACAACUUGCUGACUGUCUUACCCUAAAUUUUUCCUACUUGUUUUACUUUUAACUUUUCUUUAAAAGAAAAAAAAACCAAAAGUGUAUGUCAGUUCAGUUGGUAACUAUCCAGGAAUGUUGAGCAUAUGAUGGUGGGUUCGAACCCCAUUUUAAUUUAUUUGUAUUUGUUGUUCCUAUAAAAGAGGGUCAAAAGUUAACAAAAAGUCAGUGUUUUACUUUUUGGAGUUUAUUAUUUUUUUUUGUGUUUUAUUGGGUAUUUUUUAAAUUUUAAAUUUUUUUCAUUUUAUUAAUUUAUUAGUAAAAAAAAAACUACAAAAAAAAUUAUUUCGUCAUUAAUCUUAAUUUUUGUUUUAAUUAUGUAAAUACAAAAAUAUCUAAUUUCAUUUCAUUAAUAAAAAUACAAAAAAAAAUUGUUUGUUUCUAUUUUAUUUUUAUUCGGGUAUCUUAGGGAGCAAGUAAAAGUUUUGGAAGAUUUUGAUAUAAUUUUCUUAUCUUGGAAAAUUUAAGAAGAAAUAAUACCUUAAUUUGGUAUUUUUGAUUAUUUUGAUUAAGUUUAUUUCUUUCUUUUUUAUUUCUUUAAUCUAACUUUCUAUUAUAAAUAAGAAGUAAUUUUUUACAAUAUAAAACCAACAAUUUCACAACUAGAAAAUUCAGAAAAAGGCCUCUCUCUCUCUCUCACACACACAGUUAGAAAAUAACAAAAAAGGCCAGGGUUAUUUUUUGACUACCACACGAUAACAUUAUUUUUGCAAUAGCUUUCUCUACCAUUUUUAUCAUAAAAACAACAUCACCAUUCCACUCUACACAACAUCAUCACCUCUCCAAUCGUCAAGUCAACUUCAUGCCUUUAACUACCACUACCACUUUCAACCCUACACAAACCAUAAACCAAUUAAAAAACACCACAUUAAACCUAAUACAAAAAAAUAAAAAUAAAUAAAAGAAAGAAUUGUGUUGAGAGUUUUUAUCAAACACUUCAUGUGUAAGAUGUAAAAGUUUCCACUCUACACAACAUCAUCACCUCUCCAAUCGUCAAGUCAACUUCAUGCCUUUAACUACCACUACCACUAUCAACCCUACACAAACCAUAAAUCAAUUAAAAAAACACCACAUUAAAACUAAUACAAAAAAUAAAAAUAAAUAAAAGAAAGAAUUUUGUUGAGAGUUUUUAUCAAACACUUCAUGUGUAAGAUGUAAAAGUUUUAUUUUGAGAGUAGUUAAUUACCAUAUCAAUCCAAAAAAAAAACAUUAACACAUAUUCAAACAUAAAGUAGAAUUCAUGUGUAAGAUGUAAAAGUUUUAUUUUGAGAGUAGUUAAUUACCAUAUCAAUCCAAAAAAAAAACAUUAACACAUAUUCAAACAUAAAGUAGAACAAGAAGAACGAAAAACCAUCAAAGUUUGUCGUUCUACCAUCCUUUUGUCAUCACCACACCGCGAGUGUCACUGGAGAAUCCACGCUUCCUCCACGAACCUCUUUCAUGGUAGGCCUCCCUCCAUUCACGUUCUCCUCCGUUCUCCAAUGAUAGUCGCAACAGUGCCCCUCAGACGGUGUAACAGUGCCACCUCUCUCCUGCAAUCAUCGUCAAGGUUAUUCUAUUCCACCCUCCCUUGCGGUAACUCUUUAAUCAUUCUGAUUUUGUUUGAUUUGUAUGAGAAGAAAUUAAUUUAAUGAAUGAUUAAUAAGAAUGAAUCAAAAGAGAAAGAUUGAGAAAGAUUUUAGGGGGAUUGGUAUUGAUUGUAUGUUCAUGUGUUUUUUUCACGAAAUGAAGAAGAAUUUGAGAGUGGCGAGAGAAAAAGGAGAGAGGAAGGACAUUGAAUAUGAUUUGAUUUUCUCCUUUUUCUGUUUUUUCUUUGUUCCUUUUACUUUUUUUGUGGUUUUAAAAAAUGAAAAUAAAGAGGUGAAAAGGAGAUGCCCCCAUUGCUGACUCUUCCUUUUUCUUUCUUCCUUUCUUUUUGACAAUUAUUUUAUUAUUAUUUAUUCACUUUAUUAAACUAAGGGAUAUAUUUGUUGGAAUUUGGAAUCACAAGACUGGUGAAUGAUGGAGAAAAUUGGAGCAUGUAAAGGGAAAGAGAAAAUUUGAGAGAGAGAGAGAGAGAGAGAGAGAGAGAGAGAGAGAAUUGAGGGUGAAAAGUGUUAUUCACAUUAGCUAAAGAUGAGAACGCCUCCAAUGCAUUUAUACAAGUGUUAAAAAAUGAUUUGAAUCCAAUACUUGCAGUAACAUAACUGAAAACCACAAAAAUUUGGGUCUGUAACUGGUUACACUAAACAUGUAACUAGUUACAGCUGACAUGAAAAUAAAAACACUUUCAGUGGUAAUCAGUUACUUCUUCCAAGUUUUGCCUUGUUCUUUAGUCCAGAAGUGAAAUUGCUCUUACUGUAACUAGUUACACCCCCCGAGUUAACCAGUUACAACAGUUGAAUUACUAAAAUUACUUUUAACAAUAUUAGGAUUCGUUUUGCACUUUGGGCUUAAGCCUAAUGACUUCUAUUCACACCCCUCUGAAACAUUAUUUAUAACACUGGUUUUAAUUUAGUUUAGUUUUUUUUUUAAAUAAAAAUAAAUAUAUUAAAUUUCAUUAAGUUUAAUUGGUUAAUUAAGUUAAUUUAAUGUUGUUUGAUUUUUACCUCAUUUUAUUUAUUUUGCUUAGGCUAUUUAUUUUGAUUAUUAUAAAAUAAAAUACAAAAAAGAUGUUUCUUUUACUUUUAUUAUGAUAUUUAAUCACCAAAAAAAUCAAAAAUAACAAAAGUCAAAAAAAUGCCUUUCUUUCAUAAUUAAAAUUGACAUCCACUCAUCAAUUAAUUUUUUGCCCUUGCGUGCCCAAAUCAAACUUUGUUUCAUAAAAGAAUAGUCCAAUCCAUUUAACGCGAAUAUAAACAAUGCAUAAGCCUCCAUCGUGUGAACAUAAAUACAGACGUUUAACCGCUAUAAUAAGACCUAACACUAUUCUCUAAAAUCAACCCACAAACUUUUUUACACGAACUACAAAUAUCUCACUUUCUCAUUGCACUUUGAAACCAUGGUGAGCACACUAAUAAAAAACUAAUUUUCUUCUUUCCUUUUGUAAAUAUUCUUUUUGAAAUUAGACAACUACAAACACUCUUAAACAUUCUUUCCCCUAAAACUAUUUGGAAGGUUCCUGUUGAGUAUAAUAGAUGUGAAGGGUGUUAAUACCUUCCCUCACAUAACCGACUCCCGAACCUGAAACUGGUUACGAUGACCAUCUUAUCCUCUUUCCUUAAGAGUUUAUUGUUAUUAUCCAUUUUCUUAGGAAUAAAUAAAAUUUCAGUGGUGACUCUGAGUUUAUUUCGAAUGUUCGUAUGCUUAGGUAAUUUUCACACCGCAACAGCUGGCAUCACCAUUCCACUCUACAUAACAUCAUCACCUCUCCAAUCGUCAAGUCAACUUCAUGCCUUUAACUACCACUACCACUUUCAACCCUAAACAAACCAUAAAUCAAUUAAAAAAACACCACAUUAAAACUAAUACAAAAACAUAAAAAUAAAUAAAAGAAAAAUUUUUGUUGAGAGUUUUUAUCAAACACUUCAUGUGUAAGAUGUAAAAGUUUCCACUCUACAAAACAUCAUCACCUCUCCAAUCAUCAAAUCAACUUCAUGCCUUUAACUACCACUACCACUUUCAACCCUACACAAACCAUAAAUCAAUUAAAAAAAUACCACAUUAAAACUAAUACAAAAAAAUAAAAAAAAAUAAAAGGAAGAAUUUUGUUGAGAGUUUUUAUCAAACACUUCAUGUGUAAGAUGUAAAAGUUUUAUUUUGAGAGUAGUUAAUUACCAUAUCAAUCCAAAAAAAAAACAUUAACACAUAUUCAAACAUAAAGUAGAAUUCAUGUGUAAGAUGUAAAAGUUUUAUUUUGAGAGUAGUUAAUUACCAUAUCAAUCCAAAAAAAAAACAUUAACACAUAUUCAAACAUAAAGUAGAACAAGAAGAACGAAAAACCAUCAAAGUUUGUUGUUCUGCAAUCCUCCCGUCAUCACCACACCGCGAGUGUCACUGGAGAAUCCACGCUUCCUCCACGAACCUCCUUCAUGGUAAGCCUCCCUCCAUUCACGUUCUCCACUGUUCUCCAAUGACAGUCGCAACAGUGCCCCUUAGACGGUGUAACGGUGCCACCUCUCUCCUGCAAUCAUCGUCAAGGUUAUUCUGUUCCACCCUCCCUUGCGGUAACUCUUUAAUCAUUCUGAUUUUGUUUGAUUUGUAUGAGAAGAAAUUAAUUUAAUGAAUGAAUCAAAAGAGAAAGAUUGAGAAAGAUUUUAGGGGGAUUGGUAUUGAUUUUAUGUUCAUAUGUUUUUUUUUCACGAAAUGAAGAAGAAUUUGAGAGUGGCGAGAGAAAAAGGAGAGAGGAAGGAUAUUGAAUACGAUUUGAUUUUCUCCUUUUUCUGUUUUUUCUUUGUUCCUUUUACUUUUUUUUGUGGUUUUAAAAAAUGAAAAUUAAUAGGUGAAAAGGAGAUGCCCCCACUGCUGAGUCUUCCUUUUUCUUUCUUCCUUUCUUUUUGACAAUUAUUUUAUUAUUAUUCAUUCACUUUAUUAAACUAAGGGAUAUAUUUGUUGGAAUUUGGAAUCACAAGACUGGUGAGUGAUGGAGAAAUAUGGAGCAUGUAAAGGGAAAGAGAAAAUUUGAGAGAGAGAGAGAGAGAGAGAGAGAGAGAGAAUUGAGGGUGAAAAGUGUUAUUCACAUUAGCUAAAGAUGAGAACGCCUCCAAUGCAUUUAUACAAGUGUUAAAAAAUGAUUUGAAUCCAAUACUUGUAGUAACAUAACUGAAAAACACAAAAUUUGGGUCUAUAACUGAUUACACUAAACAUGUAACUAGUUACAGCUGACAUGAAAAUAAAAACACUUUCAGUGGUAAUCAGUUACUUCCUCGAAGUUUUGCCUUGUUCUUUAGUCCAAAACUGAAAUUGCUCUUACUCUAACCGGUUACACCCCCCGAGUUAACCAGUUACAACAGUUGAAUUACUAAAAUUACUUUUAACAAUAUUAGGAUUUGUUUUGCACUUUGGGCUUAAGCCUAAUGACUUCUAUUCACACCCCUCUGCAACCUUAUUUAUAACCCUGGUUUUAAUUUAGUUUAGUUUUUUUUUAAAAUAAAAAUAAAUAUAUGAAAUUUCAUUAAGUUUAAUUGGUUAAUUAAGUUAAUUUAAUGUUGUUAGAUUUUUACCUCAUUUUAUUUAUUUUGCUUAGGCUAUUUAUUUUGAUUAUUAUAAAAUAAAAUACAAAAAAAAUGUUUCUUUUACUUUUAUUAUGAUAUUUAAUCACCAAAAAAAUCAAAAAUAACAAAAGACAAAAAAAUGCCUUUCUUUCAUAAUUAAAAUUGACAUCCACUCAUCAAUUAAUUUUUUGCCCUUGCGUGCCCAAAUCAAACUUUGUUUCAUAAAAGAAUAGUCCAAUCCAUUUAACGUGAAUAUAAACAAUGCAUAAGCCUCCAUUGUGUGAACAUAAAUACAGACGUUUAACCGCUAUAAUAAGACCUAAGACUAUUAUCUAAAAUCAAUCCACAAACUUUUUUACACGAACUACAAAUAUCUCACUUUCUCAUUGUAUUUUGAAACCAUGGCGAGCACACUAAUAAAAAACUAAUUUUCUUUUUUCCUUUUGUAAAUAUUCUUUUUGAAAUUAGACAACUACAAACACUCUUAAACAUUCUUUCCCCUAAAACUAUUUGGAAGGUUCCUGUUGAGUAUAAUAGAUGUGAAAGGUGCUAAUACCUUCCCUCACAUAACCGACUCCCAAACCUGAAACUGGUUACGAUGACCAUCUAAUCCUCUUUCCUUAGGAGUUUAUUGUUAUUAUCCAUUUUCUUAGGAAUAAAUAAAAUUUCGGUGGUGACUCUGAGUUUAUUUCGAACGUUCGUACGCUUAGGUAAUUUUCACACCACAACAGCUGGCGACUAUGUUGGGGAUCUUUGAGCUUUAGCGAUUCAAGCCUAUUCCCUUUAGUUUUAGGUUGAGUGUUUUGUCUGUUUAUUAUUUUCUUUUCUUUUAUUGUUUUGUCUUGUUUUUCUAUUUAUGUUUUUAUUUUCUAACAUUUCAUAUUUGUAUAUACAUUGAUCGGGGAUUGCUAUGUGAGAUAAGCUCUACAACUGAUCCUGAGGAAAACUUAUGAUUAAGAUGGUGAUUAUGUAGUAUCGGCCUACGAGGUGUAUGCCUCGUUGGGGUGGUACGGAGAUCGCACCUAGAGUAUACCCUCUUUGAGGUAUUAUUGUCUGAUGAGUCUUCGUCAAGACGAUAUAAUAUUUAAGUAGGAUCCAUGACUAUAGGAAACUUUUUUAGAACCCUGGAGUCGAUGGUUGUGAAGUAUUGAAUUGCGAUAUGUAUGGCUCAUGGGGUGGAUACAAAGAUAUCACCUAGAAGAGAUCAUCUUGAGGGUAUCAUUGUUUGACGAUUCUUCGUCAAGGCGACGAUAUUCUCAAGGAGGGUCCAUGAAUCUUAGAACUUAUUAAAAAUUAUAGAGUUAUCCUUGUGAGGGGAUUGGGUAUUAAAGAUUUAGAACCAACCUAUCAUAUGGAGCCGCUCUAAAAAAGUUGUUCUUAUAUCUUUCGCUAUCCCUAAACCCCUAUGUGUUUUCUUAUGUCUGUCAAUAACCUAAACCCGCAUGUGACACAUAGAUUGCAUCUACAUAAAAAACUUUUAGCAUACCUUGAAAACGAAACAUAAAAUCUUUUUGCAAACCCAUGCAUUUCCAUGCAUCCGCAUACAUGCACAUACAUUUGCAUAUCAUAAAACGAAAACCCAUAUUUCUUCCCCCUUGUCCAUCGUGAUCCACGCUAGCUGAUUUCUUGAUACUCAUGAACAAACUCAAAGUAUGUCUCAAGAAGAUAUGGAGGAACUCAAGAGAGGCCAUGAACUGUUGAAAGUGGAGUUCAACCAGCUAAAUACUCAAAUGAACUUGGUCAUGCCAGUACUAUUGAGGAGAGAAGGUAAUCUUUUGCAUGCUAGCAACGUGCCUACCCAAUGCGUCGAAUACAAGAACCCUAGACGAUGCCUCUACAACAAAAUACGCAGAAGUAUCUGUUAGAUGAUAGGCCUAGAUCUAGAGGUGGGUGAAUAGAUUUCAAGCUAAAAACAUCCAAAAAUUUGGUGUAGAAAAGUUUAUGGCGCAAAAGCAAGUUUCAAAUAUUUCCCCAAUCAAACAUCUCCUAAUCGAACCUACUAUUGAAUAGCUCAGAUAUGCGUAAAUGUGUCAAUGGUAUGAUAAUAAUCCACAAGUUUAUUUACAACACUUUAAACAACAAAUUAAAUAGUCCACUAUAGUAAAGGUCUAUCUACAAUGAUAACAACACACAAAAAACUAGUUGAAACAAUUUGUCGAACACUUUGCUGCGAUCAACAAAGUUUAGAUAUUUGUAUAGUGUUUGUAGUUCUUAGAAAUCCAUUCAAUACCAAAUGGUAUGUGAUUACUAAAAUAACACAAAUUUAACAAAUGAUUCAAAACUUACUAUCCAAACAAUAUUAAACAAGAGAUCAAAGUAAUCAACAAUUUCCGAACUGAAAAAUAAAAGAGAUAUAUAGAGAGAGUACACAAAUAUUUGUUUAGACGGUUCCCCAAUCAACCUCGUUAUGGGUACGUAUGCCCUCAAUUCGAAUACGAAUUAAGAUAUUAUUAUAAUAAAUCUUACUUUGCAAAUGUAUGUAUAAUAGAGAUGAGAAAUCAAAUCCCAAAACCCUAAGUUUGUUCUUGACUCUAGCACCUCCAAAAUCCUUGAUCAAAGAUUGAUCAAGUUAUCAACAAUGUCGCUUCAAUUCACCUGUUGUUGCUACUUCCUUGCACGACUACAAUGAUAACAACACACCAAAAAACUAGUUGAAACAAUUUUCCGAACACUUUGUUGCGAUCAACAAAGUUUAGAUAUUUGUAUAGUGUUUGUAGUUCUUAGAAAUCCAUUCAAUACCAAAUGGUAUGUGCUUACUACAAUAACACAAAUUUAACAAAUGAUUCAAAACUUAUUAUCCAAACAAUAUUAAACAAGAGAUCAAAGUAAUCAACAAUAUCCGAACUGAAAAAUAAAAGAGAUAUAUAGAGAGAGUACACAAAUAUUUGUUUAGGCGGUUCCCCAAUCAACCUCGCUAUGGGUAUGUAUGCCCUCAAUUUGAAUACGAAUUAAGAUAUUAUUAUAAUAAAUCUUAUUUUGCAAAUGUAUGUAUAAUAGAGAUGAGAAAUCAAAUCCCAAAACCCUAAGUUUGUUCUUGACUCUAGCACCUCCAAAAACCUUGAUCAAAGAUUGAUCAAGUUAUCAACAAUGCCGCUUCAAUUCACCUGUUGUUGCUACUUCCUUGCACGACCUCCUUGUCUCUAGGCUUUCACCCGGCUAAAUAAAUCUCAAGCAACAUUUCUCAACACGAUCCACCGUUUCACGCUACUCCCUUGCACGACACACCUAGUCCCAAGGAUUUCACUGGAUCGGAUCCGAACUCCAUAAUCUUCUCCAAAACCUUCAAACUCUAAAGAUCUUGAAGGAAAACCCCACCCCAGUUUUCUUAUUUAAAUCCCUUAAAGAUCUCAACCCAAUAUUCUCGGUACAAUAAACCUAAUUGGACAUUAUCAAUCCUAAUCUAGAUUGCACCCAGUCAAAAAAUGAUUAUGGGUAGUUUGAUUGUGAGUAUACAUUAUCAAUCCUUACUAGAGAAUGAUGCAUGUAUAAAGUACUUAUAUGCAUGGGUGAUUUAGGGGAAAAAAGGAAUGCAAAGGACUUGAAAAAAAUAUGAAUUUUUGAAAACUUACAUCGGAUAGGUCAACCUAUAAAAGUUAUGUUUCUACCUGUUGGAUGCAUAGGUCGACCUGUCUAAAGUCAUGUGUCGACCUAUUACUAUUAUGCGCUGCCUAUGUGUCGACCUGAAGACUCGACACAUGAGUCAGGCGCUACAUGCUUUAAUACUGCAGCAUACAUGUUGACCUAUAUAAUGUAUGUGUUGACCUAUAGCCAAAAAAUGUAUUCCAUAGGUCGACAUGUAAUGAAAAUGUUUCACAAAAAUUGAUUUUUCAUGCAUGUUUGAUGCAUGAGACCUUUUUCAAUUUGUUUCCAAAAUACUUUUAUACUUCCUAAUUCUAAGGUGCACAUAGAGAAUCCAAGGAUGAUGUUCAAUAUAUAUUAACGCUAAAGUAUCCUAGUUUUUACAUCAUACAAAACACAUCUAACAUAAGUUGCACUCACAUCCCCCCCCCCCCUUUUGAUGAUGGAAAAACUUGAGACGAUGCAUUUGCAAUGAAAAGACAUCAUACAAAACACAUCUAACAUAAGUUGCACUCACAUCCCCCCCCCCCUUUUGAUGAUGGAAAAACUUGAGACGAUGCAUUUGCAAUGAAAAGCUCCCCCUGAAUAUAUACAUUCCAACUCCAUCUUGCUUCUCCCCCUUUGACAACAUCAAAAAGAAACAAAGCAAUCCAUGAGAAGAAUCUUAAAUCACGCAUAAAUCAAUGUAACACACUGAGGCGAUUUCCAAAGAUAAGAGCAUUAAUAUGAUAGCACUCACAUAAAAUGACUUGCAUAUUGAAAAAUAAUUCCUAAACGUAAAUAGAAGAUAACAGUGCAACAAUAGAACAUAAUUGUCACAACUUAUGUCAAAUAACACAACACAAACAUGAAAAAUGAAGGAUACAAUAUAAAGAAAACUCUUGAGCUGCUACAAAAGCGACACGAUUAUGUGACAUAUGCCUUUGGUGCUCCCGAAAUGUUGCACACGCAUGUGCUCUAGCAAGACGAUAAACGAAGUACCACUACACAAACCAAAAACAGAGAUGAAAACAUAACAAUAACACACAAUCAAGAAUAUUGUUAACAAUGUAACAUGUUCAAUCACAAUGCAUGAGAAAAUAGAUAACAAACCGAUGCAAUAAUCAUUAUAUUUCAAAAAGAAUGAAGAUAGAAUAAAGUCAUUUUAACCAUAUAUAUUGACAUACAUCAAUUGGACAUUGUUAGAAGUGAAGAUACAUGAACUAUCUUAUACGUCAAGAACAUCAAUAAUAUAGACCAUAAACAACAUGUGAAAAAAAAAAAGCUUACGCAAAAACAGAAAAUGAAACGAUAAUACCUUUCUCGGGAAAUGAUGAGGAAUGCACUCUUAUGAAGUAUGCCUUUUAAGGAAGGUUAGACGUACAAGAUAUAUUCAAAGUGCAUUAUCAUAACAUUUAGGAAAGUGUUGAGAUGUCAAAAAUCCCUAAUUCCUUUCGAAUGUUAAAGAAGGGUUCGGUCGUAAGUGGUUUUGUAAAAAUAUCGGCAAGUUUAUUUUUACUAUCAACAUGCUUAAAAACGACUUCGCCUUUCUCAACAUGAUCGCCUACGAAAUGAUGACAAAUCUCAAUAUGCUUAGUUCGAGAAUGUAUCACCGAGUUCUUAGUUAAGUUAAUGGAGCUAGUGUUAUGGCACGUAAUUGUAAUACAACUUAGUUUUAUAUAAAAAUCAAGUAAUUGUUGUUUAAGCUGCAAAAUUUGAGCACAACAACUACCAUCCGCUAAGUAUUCCACCUCGGUAGUUGACAAUGCAACUGAAACUUAUUUCUUGCUAUGCCAACUGACUAAGGAAUUUGAAAAUAUGUGACAAGUCCCACUAGUACUUUUCCUAUCCGAUUUGCAACCGGAAAAAUCGGAAAGCGGUAUAGCCAACUAAGCUAUAAUCACUACCUUAUGAAUAUCAAAGCCCAUGAUUUGAAGUACCAUGAAGAUACCUAAAAAUGUGUUUGACGGCUUUGAGAUGGGAUUCCUUAGGAGGCGAUUGAUAUCGGGCACACAUAUAGAGACUAAACAUGAUAUUUAGCCUAGAUGCAAUGAGAUAUAGAAGAGAAUCGAUCAUACCUCGAUAUUUCUUCACUGCCACAUCCUUACCAUUUUCGUUCCUUUCUAAGUUACCAUUUGUAGAGAUCGGAGUAUCAAUCGACUUUGCAUCAACCAUGCCAAAUCUCUUUAGCAAGUCCUUGCAAUACUUGGUUUGAUAAACAAAUGUACUGUCAUUAAGUUGUUUGAUUUGAAAAACUAGGAAGUAAUUUAACUAUCCCAUGAGGCUCAUUUCAAACUCUCCUUGCAUAACCUUAUAAAACUCUUUGACAAAUUGCAUAUUAGUAGAUCCAAAAAUAAUGUCAUCAACAUAUACUUGAACAAGAAGAGUAUCAUUUCCAUGUCGCUUAAUAAAAAGAGUAGUGUCAACCUUUCCCCUUAAGUACCCUUGAUUAAUAAAAAAACUUGCUUAGUCACUCAUACGAAGCACGAGGUGCUUUUUUGAGACAAUACAAGGCGCGUUUUAAUUUGAAAACAUGAUUGGUAUACUCGUGAUUUUCAAAGUCGGGAGGUUGAGUAACAUAUACCUCUUCAUUAAUAUAACCAUUUAAAAAUUCAUUUUUCACGUCCAUUUGAAAUUCUUAGAGAAAGCAAAGGCAAGAAGAAGGUGUAUGGCCUUAAGUCAGGAGACCGGAGCAUAGGUCUCCUCAUAGUCAAUACCAUCCUCUUAGUUAUAUCCUUGAGUGACUAACUGAGCCUUAUUUAGGGUUAUCACUCCAUCUUCAUCAAGCUUAUUUCUAAAAACCCAUAUUGUGCCUAUUACUUUAUGAUGUUUCAAACGCGGGACAAGGUCUCAAACGUCAUUCCUUUUAAAUUGGUUUAGCUCAUCUUGCAUUGCCAUGAGCCAAUGCUCAUCAACAAAUGCAUCUUUAGCAUUUUUAGGCUCAACCUGUGACACAAAAGUUAAGUGAUAACAAAAGUUACUUAUCUUAGAGCGUGUUAUCACGCCUCUUGUGAUAUCUACAAGAAUAUUAUCAAUAGGAUGAUAUUUGAAUGUUCUCCAAGUCAAGGAAGUUCAUCCACUGCUGUUGGACUCUCCUCUUUUUCCUCUUCAUGAUCAUCAUCUUCUAAUUUCUCAAUUUCAUCCGUUUGAGGUUGAUCAAUCCCUUGACCGACUUCAUUAAGAAUGUCAUGCAAAGACACACCUAUAUCAUGAAAAGACAUACAUUUCCCAAUAUUUUUCGGAAAAGGCUCAUCAAAAGAAACAUGAGAAUUCUCCUCAACAAUAUGUAACCUCUUGUUAUAGACCUUAUAUGCCUUACUAGAUUAUGAGUAUCCGAGGAAGAUACCCUCCUCGACUUUAGCAUCGAAUUUAUCUGGAUUUUCCUUUCCAUUGUUCAAAAUAAAACAUUUACAUCCAAAGACAUGAUGGUGGGAAACAUUAGGUGUUCUAUCUCUAAGUAAUUGAUAGGGGGUUUUAUUUAGAAUAGGGCAUAUCAAAAUCGUAUUCAAAACAUAACAUGUCGUGCUAAUAGCAUCGGCAUAUAAGUACUUUUGUAAAGUACCUUCAUUAAGCAUCAUCCUCGCUAACUCCUCUAAAAAUUUAUUUUUAUGCUCCAAAACCCAUCUUGUUGUGGAGUUCUAUGAGUCAAGAAGUUAUGCUCAAUACCAUGUUUUUCACAAUACUUUUUAAAGAGAAGAUUUUCAAACUCUCUUCCAUGAUCACAUCGGAUGAAAAUGACUUUCAAGUUUAUUUUAUUUUGGAACAAUCUAGAAAAUUGUUUGAAAGUCGGGAAGGUCUUAUUUUUACUAGACAAAAACAUAACCCAACAAAAUCAAGAAUAAUCAUCAACUAUAACAAAUCCAUAAUAGUUUCCACCUAAGAUUUUGGUCCUAGAAGGACCAAAAAGGUCCAUAUUAAGAAGUUCAAGAGGUCUAUAUGUUGAAACAACAUUUUUUGAUUUAAAAGAGACCUUCGUUUGCUUCCCUAUUUGACAUGCUUCACAUAGGUGAUCUUUUAUGAACUUCAUUUUAGGAAGACCAAUUACCUAAUCCUUUGAGGUUACUUUGCUUAGUAAGUCAAAGUUAAUAUGAGCUCAGCGCCAAUUCCACAACCAAGAGUUUUCACUCAUGGUAGCAAGGCACUUAGUACCAACCAAGGACACUUCAUCUAAAUUUAGCAUCUAAGUAUUAUUGACUCUCAAGCCCUUAAACAAGCAAUCAUUCUUCUCAUUAUGAUCAAAUAAACAACAAGUAUUAGUGAAAGUGACUUUAAAAUCCUUGUCACAAAGUUGGCUAAUUCUAAGAAGGUUGUGUUUAAGACCAUCAACAAGCAUUGCAUCGGAGAUAGUAGUAGCUGAGGGAUUACCUACACUACCUUUUCCAAGAAUAACUCCUUUGUUGUUAUCUCCAUAAGUGACGAACCCUUUUUUCUUUUCCACAAAGUCAAUGAAAAGUGAUAUGUCACUUGUCAUAUUCCCUGAACAUCCACUAUCAAGAUACCAUAUCUUUUCGAUACAUUCAAGAUAUUCAAGCUGUAGAUUUAAACAAAGGAAAUAGGUACCCAAUUUUUAUUGGAUCCUUGGAAGUGACUGAAUCAAGGUUGCAUUUAGGUAACCAUUAGGAGACUUCUUUAGGAACUAACAUCUUCCUAAAUUUAUACUUUUCAAGGUUAUGACCCUUUUUGCAACAAUAAUGACAACAUAGAUUACGAUGAGAUAUACUUUUACCACUCGAAUCCUUUUUGAAAUUUUUAUGCUUUUUGUAUGAAUGAUUCAAAGACCUUUCAAACUUAUAAGGAUCAAUAGUAAAUUCACUCUUAGGUUGUAAGGUAUUGUCUAAUUUGACUCGAAGAACAUUUAUUUCUUUUUUCCAAUAUUGACAAGAAUAACUACCAAUUCUAGAAGAUUUUUCAUCCUCGAUCUUGUCCUUUUGAACAUCUAGCAUGGAUAGCUUAAUUGCUUCCAACAUCCUUUCAGACUAUAAGACUUUAAAUUCUAGUUGCAAAAAUAUCUUCUCAUGUGAAGCUAAUUUCUUAAAAGCAUUUAAUGCUUCUCUAUGAAGACUAUCCAAAGCUUCUUGUAAUUGAGAAUAAGAUAUAUCACUAUAAGCUCAAGUUUAGAAGGACUUACUUGUUUCUCUUCCUUCCAUUAUCCAUAAGACAAAUUUGAGCCGAUUCUACACUUGAAGUGGAGAUAUCAUCACUUAAGGAAUUAUUUUCACUCUUUCAAGCUACAUAAGCUCUUCUAGAUUUACUAGACUUCUUAUGAUGCCCUCUUUCUUUGUCUUUCUUAAUCAUGGGACAUUUCGGUCUAUAGUGACCGAUUUCACAACAAUUAUAACAAGAGCUUCUAAAUUUACCUUUUCUAUUCUCACAAUCUUUUGAAGACUUCUACUCCCUUCUAAAUUUGUCUAAGUUUCCUUCGGAAUGCUUGACUCUUUUUUUUCCCGAAUAUACCUUUGGUAUCUCUUAACAAAUAGCCCAACAUCAUCAUCAUCAUCAUCGGAGUUCUUGUCAUCCCUUUCUUCGCACUCACUAGGCUCAUUCUUUGAGGACUUGAAGCUAGAAUUUUUUAGAGCAGUGGACUUCUUCACCUCUUCCUUGUCUUUACCUUUCUCUUUCUUCAUCAUCUUUUCAUACUCUUUUUCAUAUAUUUCCAAGAAAGUGAGUUCUUGCUCAUGUUCUUCCAAUUUACCAAACAAAGUAGUGAGAUCAAGUGCUUUAAGAUCAUUGAUAGCGGUGACCUUGGGUUGUCAUUCCCUAUUAAGACAUCUCAAAACCUUGUUAAUAGAAAUAACAUUGGAGAUAGGAUUACCUAGAACGUUCAAUCUAUUAAUAAGAUGUGUGAAUCUCUUUUGCAUGUCAGCAACGGUUUCCCCAUGCUUCAUACAAAAGAGCUCAAACUCUUGAUUUAAUGUGUUGAUUCUAGCUUGUUUGACUUCAUUAUUUCCCUCACGGGAAACUUCUAAUGCGUCCCACAUAGCUUUAGCGAUUUCACGAUGAGAAGCACGAUAAUACUCAUCAACACCUAAAGCGAAUAUGAGAAUAUUUUGUGCUUUCCAAUCGUGUGACCACAACUUUCUAUCAUUAUCAUUCCAUUGACCUUCCAAUUUUGGUAUGAUGACGCCUUCACCAUUAGUCAUUGUACUUUCAUUAAGACCAUUGAUGAUGACGUCCCAUACACCCUUAGCAACGAAGUUGAUAUGGAUUCACAUACAAGCUUUCCAAUAGCCAUAAUUUUCACCGGUGAAAAUAGGUGCUCUAUUAUACGCCCAUUUAGGUUCGGUAGCCAUUAUCUAAUAAGAAAAUCUUAAGAUCGGAAACAACCAGAGAUCGUGAUUCCACUUGUUAGACGAUAGGCCUAUAUCUAGAGGGGGUGAAUAGAUCUAAAGUUAAAAAUUAUUCAAAAAUUUAAUUUAGAAAAAUUUAUGACGCAUAAGCAAGUUUCAAAUAUUUCCCGGAUCAAAAAUCGUCUAACCGAACCUACUAUUGAAUAGCUCAAAUAUGCAUAAAGAUGUCAAUGGUAUGAUAAUAAUUCACAAGUUGAUCAACAACACUUUAAACAACAAUGGUAUGAUAAUAAUCCACAAGUUGAUUAACAAAACUUUAAACAACAAAUUCAAUACUCCAUUAUAGUAAAGGUUUAUCUCCAAUGAUAACAACACACAAAAAACUAGUUGAAACAAUUUAUCGAACACUUUGUGUGCGAUCAACAAAGUUUGAAUAUUUGUAUUGUGUUUGUAGUUAUUAGAAAUCCAAUCACUACCAAAUGGUAUGUGAUUACUAUAACAACACAAAUUUAACAAAUGAUUCAAAAGUUAUUAUCCAAACAAUGUUGAUCAAGAGAUCAAAGUAAUCAACAAUUUGCGAACCGAAAAAUAAAAGGUAUAUAUAGAGAGAGUAUGCUAGGAUUUGUUUAGGAAGUUCCCCAAUCAACCUCGCUAUAAGUACGUCUGCCCUCAAUUCAAACACGAAUUGAGAUAUUAUUAUAAUAAACCUUAGUUUGAAAAUGUAUGUAUACAAGAGAUGAGAAAUCAAAUCCCACAAACCUUAAGUUUGUUCUUGACUCUAACACCUUCAAAAACCUUGACCAAAGAUUGAUCAAGUCACCAAUAAUUUCGCUUCAAUUCACCUGUUGUUGCUACUUCCUUGCACGACCUCCUUAUCUCAAGGCUUUCGCAUGGCUGAAUUAAUCCUAAGCGCACACUUGUUGAACCCAAGAUUUGUCAACACAAUUCACCAUUUCACGCUUCUCCCUUGCACGACACACCUAAUCCCAAGGCUUUCACUCGAUCGGAUACGAAUUGCACAAUCUUGUACAAAACCUUCAAAUCCUUAAGAUCUUGAAGAAAAACCCCACCUCAGUUUUCUUAUUUGAAUCCCUCAAAGAUCUCAACCCAAUAUUCUCGGUACAACAAACCUAAUUGGACGUUAUCAAUCCUAAUCUAGAUGGCGCCCAAUCAAAAAAUGAUUAUGUGUAGUUUAAUUGUGUGUAUGUAUAGAUUGAAUUGAAUAUCAUAAGAUGCUUUGAAAUAUUGGAUUCAUGUAGGUUUUACUCACUCUAGAAACCUUACUAGAGAGUGAUGCAUGUAUGAAGUAUUUAUAUGCAUGGGUGAUUUAGGGAAAAAAAGAAAUGUAAAUGACUUGAAAAAAACACGAAUUUUUGAAAAAUUACAUCGGAUAGGUCGACCUAUAAAAUUUAUGUGUCGACCUGUUGGAUGCAUAGGUUGACCUAUCUAGAGUCAUGUGUUGACCUAUGACUCUUAUGUAUCGCCUAUGUGUCAACCUGAAGACUCGGCACAUGAGACAUAGGCUAUAUGCUUUAAUACUGCAGCAUAUGUGUCGACCUGUAAAAUGUAUGUGUCGACCUAUAACCACAAAAUGUUUUCUAUAGAUCGACCUGUAAUUGCAUGUGUCGACUUGUAAUGGAAUUUUUUUCACAAAAAUUGAUUUUUCAUGCAUGUUUGAUGCACGAUACCUUUUUCAAGUUGUUUCCAAAUUACUUUUAUGUUUCCUAAUGCUAAGAUGCACGUAGGGAAUCAGAGAAUAUCGUCCAAUCUACGUUAGCGCUAAAGUAUCUUAGUUUUGACAUUAUACAAAACACAUCUAACGGAAGUUGCACUUACAAUAUCCUCAUUAUAAGAAGCCUCAUGCACCUCAUCAAUCGUGAGAUCACUAUGUUCCACCAUAAAAAAGGAAGGUUGGAAGGAAAUUUGACCAUAUACCAAUGUCCUAUGGCCAAUUGUUGCAGUACUUGCUCAGAGGUGCCCUAUUUGAGCCAAGACCACUUGAUCCUCCUCCUCGUCCAUAUCCUUCAAGUUAUGAUGAGAAUGUUAUAUGUGAGUACCAUGUUGGUUCGCGGCAGAAUACGGAAGAAAAUUGUAGGGUUCUCGAACACAAGGUCCAAGACCUGAUCGAUGACGAACAAUUAACUUUCGAAGGAGGAACCUGAUUGGUGAAUGGUCACCCCUUACUUUGACAAGUGCAAGAAUGUCAAGAAGCUUCUCCUAAAGUCAGUGGGUCAACAAGGAACUUCAUCCCUAGGAACAUUAGGCUUUUUUCCAUUUGUAAUUUCUUUCUUGUUAAAUAUUCUUUGUUUUUAAAUUUGUACUAUUUGCUCGAUAAUUUCAAUAAGAUGAGAAUGCAUAGCCAAAAAACCUGAAAAAGUUAACUUAGGCAAAAGUUAGGGCAUCCCGAUGGAUCAUAAAUUCAAAAUAAUUGGUACAUGCAAAAAUAGAGAUUAAAAGCGAAAAAGAAAAAUUGGAAGCAAGCUUAUAAACAGAAGUAGGUGAAUGUCACCUCAAGAUUCUCAUCAGCGCUUCAACCAUUAUAUUUACCUCCAUCAUCAUGACUACCCAAAUUCUCUUGCCGACUGAAUGCAUCCUUUGAGUUAAUUGGAUUUAGGAAUGGAGAACAUCAAAGGAGAAGGGGUGGGUUAAAUCAAAAUUUGAGUCUUAUAUCACUUUUUCCAUAAACCAUGAAGCAAGACACGUUACAACCUUAAAAAAGAUCUAAUUGAAGUUAGGUUCACUAUGAAAGCAUACUCAGCAAAAUUAUUGUUAAAUUGACUCCAAAUAUUUGUUAAAUCAUCGUCAACCACAUUAUCUUACCAUAUUUUCACAUCUUCAUUUGUGUCAACCUCGUGGCCAAAUAUCAUCAAUUCCACACACCAUGUCUCUAUAACAAUUUUCGAUCUCAAAACUUGCAAAAGUCCAUUACAUUAAAAUUACUUUUUAAAAGGAACAAUUUUACUAGCAUAGGACAACCACCAUAAAAGACGAGUGAGCCAAUUUUACUCGCAUAGGACAACCACCAUAAAAUACUGAGUGAGUCAAUUUUACUCGCAUAGGAACAAUCUUAUGAGCAGAAUGAAUCAAUUUCACAAAUAACCAAGCAUAAGAAGUAUCCAAACACAUAGUACAACUACCAUAUAAAAGACGAGUGAGAUAAUUACAAAAGUAACAACAUUGUUAAUAUAACAUGAAAAUGAUAUAUAAGCCCCAAUAAGAAGAAAAAAAAAUGUAAUCCAAUUAUUGAUAUAUGCCUUUUUCUGAAUUAUUGGCUGUGUAUUGGGACAUGGUUUUAUCUAAUGUGUUCUUUUGUGACUUGGUUUGAUCUUGUUUGGGACUAUUUCUUAUGUUUGAUUCUCUUAUGUUACAAUUCAAUUAGUAGUUAUAUAAUUAUCAAUAUAUUUUCCUUUUAAAAUCCAUCCAAUUUCUUGAAUUGUUUCAACUCAACGACUUGGAUUUGAUAUGUAUAUAGUGAUUUGCUUAAUAUCAACGAGAUUAAUAAUACACCAAUGAUGGUGAUGCAUUUAUCAUAGUCAAUGCCUCUAUUUAUCAAUUAUCAAUUGUCUAAUCGCAAAACAAGCACACGUUUGUACAUACAUGCUCAAGCUAAGUCAUUAUCCCUUCUUCAAAAGACAACAUAUCCUUGACCAUUUCCAUGAUGACAAAGGCAUUCAAACGUGCAUAUUAGUACACCUCAUUGGACACUUCAAUUCUUGUAUAUGAAUCUACAGUGUCACUUGUGUCAUUUUCUGGUUUCAUUUUUCAUUCUGGUUAAAACAUAGAAUACAUGAGAGAUUUCAUUUUACCAUACAAGUUUAAUAAUGCAUGUCUUUAUCUUGUUGUCGCCUUCAUUUUCUAAUAAUAAAGGUAUUCUUGCUACAUUGCUCUUUUCAGGAUUCUUCGCAAAAGAAAUUGUGGUCCAUCUCACUCUCACUCUUCUUAUUUCUACUCUACUUGCAAGCCUAUAGACAAUAGUGGAUAAAAGAUAACUUUUUUCUUCUUUGGUUAUAUUGAUAAAAGAAUUUUCUUAUAUAAUUAUCAAAGCAUUAGUAAUUAUUCGCAGAUAGUGUAAAACUUUUUAAUACAUACAUCCAAUCUAAUUAUAUUGUCAUUUUUAUAAAUCUAAUUAUAUUGUCAUUUUUAUAAAUUAAAAAGUUAUACACCAUAGGUGUUUAGAAAUUAAAUAUAAUUAUCAAUGGAUCCAAAGUAUUACUCCUACUACAUGCAAAUGCCAAUAUGUUCGUUUAAAAAAAGAUCUACCUAAAUCUUAAUUUUCACAUGAUUGAGAUAGUAAUGAUGGUGACCAUGAGCUCCCUCACUACUAUAAAAAUAGACUAUCAAGAAAAAAAGGUUUCACAAUGGUGGUGUCUUUAGUAAUUUAGGGUCUGAUAGAAAAUAUGUUAUUUUUUAUUACGAUUAUUGAUUAAGGUGAAAAAUUGGAUAGGACGUCACUUUUUAUCACAAUUAAAAUUUUCAUCCGUGAUGAAAAGUGAUUUGGUAAUGAGCUCGAUUUUUAGCAAAAUCAUUUUAAUAUUUUGACGUGUGAUUUUUCCAUGAUUGUUAAAGCUAACCGAGGGGAUAUGUGUGUUGACACGGUUAGGAGACCUAACUAUGAUAAAUUCCAUUAUUUUUUUAAAUAUUUUUUAAAUUUUCCAUAUAAUUUUAUUUUAAUCUGAUUUUUAACUUGAUUUGUAUAUCACAUUUUUACAACAACAUGAUAUGGAUCCAAAUAUACAUCAAAAUAUGGAAUAAAAUUAUACACUAUACACAUGCACUAAAAUGACAUGCAUGUAUCAAAAUAUUAAACACAAUUAUAAUUAUUUAUAUCUAAACCAAUGUUACAAAUAUUACAAAAUUAGUGGGCAUCUUGGCUUAUAAAUCUCCAAUGUGAACAAACGUCUUUAGAGUAUUAUCUGAAUGGUGUAUCGGUGCACCAUCCAAAAUAAUCUUUUCAAAAAAUUAUACUACAUUUGUAUUUGACCGGACAAAUACAUUUACCGAUGUCAAUUUCUACAUCAUGAAAUUAGUAGCAACACAUAACACAUAUAAUUUGAUAAGACCACAAAUAGAUGCAACACAAAAAAACAUAAUUUUAAACAAACGAAUAACAAAAGAAAACUUAUGCAUAUUAUAUAGAUUUCGUCAAACUAUUUCUUGUGCAAUUUCCGCUCAUAUGUUAAUUUUCUUCUAACUUCUUAUCAUAGAUCCUGUUCAGCUCUUUCUUUUGUGAUUCCCGCUCCUGUUCUAAUUUUUUUUCUAAAUUCUUAUCAAUGAGCCCAUUCAUCUCUUUCUUGCACAAUUCUUUACUCUUUCUUGAGUUUGCAAAGUACACUCUGAGGUUGAUGCCUUGUCUAUCACCGCGAACACAUCCAUUGUGCUCCUUUAUUCCAAUUGUUUCUACUAAGAUAUCAUGUUGUACUUGUGGAACAAAUGAACCUUCAUUGUCCAUAUCAACCAACAAAUCCUACAAUAUGAAUAAGAUUCACUACCAAAGCAAAUUAAACUACAAUUAAUAGUCAAAUUCACAAAAGAAUCUACUUACAAUCUUCUCAGCGACAACAUAUGUGAAUUCUAUGUGAUUUAUGCAGGUGCUCUUUAUCGGGCCUUAUUCCAUUUCUCAUGGCGUGAUGGUAGAGAUGGGUUGCGAUCAUUACUUAGUGAGUCAUCUCCCAGUUGUUGUCUUUUUUCAUUAAUUGUCUCUUCCUUCAGUUUUCUCUAUCCUUCACGAGACAAUAUGUGGGAUAUAUAU